UAGACCACCCUACUCCAACCAUCAAGCCUAUCUUCCUCAACAAUGGGCCUCUGCAAAAUCCUCUCCAUUUCCUCAUUCCUUCUCACCACCCUAUUCUUCACCUCCAGCUAUGCAGCAACCUUCAACAUCCAAAACCGUUGCUCCUACACAGUUUGGGCGGCGGCAAUCCCAGGCGGGGGCAUGCGGCUUGGCUCAGGCCAAUCCUGGAGCCUCGAUGUGAAGGCCGCCACCACCGGAAGCCGUGUUUGGGGCCGUACCGACUGCAGCUUCGAUGCGUCAGGGAAUGGGAAGUGUGAGACCGGGGACUGUGGUGGCCGCCUCCAAUGCAAGGCCUAUGGUACACCCCCUAACACCUUAGCCGAAUUCGCACUUAACCAAUACAGCAACUUGGACUUCUUUGAUAUAUCUUUGGUUGAUGGAUUUAAUGUGCCUAUAGCCUUUAAUCCUACUUCCAAUGGGUGCACCCGUGGCAUCAGUUGCACCGCCGACAUCGUGGGAGAGUGCCCCGCUGCGCUAAAGACUACCGGUGGUUGCAACAACCCAUGCACCGUUUUCAAGACCGAUGAAUAUUGUUGCAAUUCUGGGAGCUGUAAUGCUACAGAUUUCUCAAGGUUUUUCAAGACUAGGUGCCCUGAUGCUUAUAGCUACCCUAAGGACGAUCAGACAAGCACCUUCACAUGCCCUGGCGGUACCAAUUAUGAAGUUAUCUUCUGCCCAUCAGCAGUGCCACAAACAUGUGUUUUUAUUAUAAAUUAAUUUGUGGUAAAAAAAACAUUUUGUGUUACAAGAUUUUUUUUCCACAAAAAAAUAUUUCCGACCAGUUUGUUGCUACAAAUUCGUAAACAAUUAUUUUUAAUCACAAAAUUUAAUUUUAUAAUAAAAUAAAUAAUUUUUUCAUAAAAUAAAUUUUAUAACAAAAUAUCAAUAUUCACCAUUAAAUAAAAUUUAUGAUAAAAUGUCAUUUUUCACCGUAAAAUAAAAUUUGUGACAACACAUCGUUUUUCAUGAAAAUAAUUACGAUAAUAUGCGACUUUUUUGUUAUAAAAAAAUUCAUGAUAAAAAAUUACCCUUCUACCAAAAAACAUUAAUUGUAACGGUCCAAACCACUGGUCUUGACAAGGAAAUAUGACAUACAGUCAAGGAGGGUUUGCUUAAAAGUCAUUAUCCUACUUGGAAACUACCUCCCUUAUUGGGGUACAUGGCAUUUUUUUAAUAAUAUUUGACUCACUUUUCCGGGAAACCUAGUUGUAGAAGUCCAAACAGGUUGCUUUUCAGGGGAAUUCACGGCAUAAAUAGAAAAGAAAGUUGCCAGAAAUGCCCUAACUGAUUAAAAUCAUUACCUUUAAUUGCAGAGAAUUAUGUCUAUCAAUUAAAUAAAUUAUAAAUAUAUGUUUGAAUUGAUUUUUAAGAAAUUGAAUGGUUUUUUAAGUUCAAUAAGAAUUUUAAUAUUGAUUUAACUAAUUUUAUUUAAAAAGCUUAUGAUUUAAAAAAUAGUUUUAUAUGAUUUAGAUAAGAAAUUAUUUAAUAUUUAAUAUAAGUUUUAUAAUACUAAUAUUAUGUAUUAAAAAUUAUGAUUUUGGUUGGACUCUCAACAUUUAGUUAAAUCUAAAAGUAGAAAACUAUUUCAAACAAAGUCAUGUUUUCUAUUUCAUUAUUAAUUAAUAUAUAUUUUUUUUAAUUCGGAUGUGAAAAGGUGUUUCAAAGUUUAAGAUUGUCUAAUAUUUUAAAUCAAAAUCUCAAUACUUAAAUUAAAGAAAAAUUUAGAUCGUAUUUAUUUGUUUAAUUGAAUAGAAAAAAUUAAAAUAUUUAAUUUUUUUAAUUUUAAUUAAAAGUAAUCUAUUUAUAUUAAUCAAUAUAACGAAAUCGAAUAUAUUGAUAAUAAAUUUACUUUAAAUAUCUUAAUUGAUAUUAAUAUAUUACUUGAACUGAAAAAACUAAAAAGCAAAAAAUAAACUCCACACUUAAAAAGAUUCUGGGCCAUGGAUACAGAAGCCCAAAAGAUUUAUUGAUGGGGGCAGUGGGCCUGGCCUGCCGUGUGCAGCUGCAUUUGUUUGACUUGUCCUCAAGCCUAGUCAACGUCUCCGUUCAAUGAAGCUGAUGUAUCGAAAAAUCCCAAAAAGCCUCAUUUUUCCCGCCAAACGCGUAAACCCCAAAAUGAGUUUCUUCUGCAACUGCAGCAAUCUCUCUACUUCCUUCUUCCUCCUCAUCUUCAUCAAUGCAACCAUUUUCGAAAUCCGAAACAGCUGCCCCUAUACCGUCUGGGCAGCCGCCUUACCCGGCGGCGGAAGGUAACUCGACCAAGGCCAGACCCGGAACCUUUCAGUGAGCUCCAACACAACCCAAGGCCACAUCUGGGGCAGAACCAAGUGCAGUUUCGAUGAAGCCGGAAGGGGGAACUGCGAGUCCGGUGGAUGUGGAGGCCUCCUUGAAUGCCAAGAAUAUGGUUCACCGCCCAACACCAUUGCCGAGUACGCCAUAAACCAAUUCAACAAAACUGAUUUCUUCGAUAUUUCUCUGGUGGUUGGAUUCAACCUUCCAAUGGAGUUUAGCCCAACUUCUGAUGGGUGCAAACGUGGGGUCAAGCGUACGUGCGACAUUAACGGGCCGUGCCCAAACGAGUUGAGGGACCCGGGUGGGUGUAACAACCCAUGUACCGUUUUCAACAAUACUCAGUACUGUUGCAAUACCGGGAGCUGUUAGCCUACACCUUCAUGUUUUUCAAGGCUAGCUGCCCAGAUGUAUACAGUUACCCUUUGGGAGAUGAUUCAAUCGGUACGUUUACCUGCGCCGCAUGCACUAACUAUCGUAUAGUCUUCUCCGAGUUUUGGGGUAGCCCAAAGUUUAAACCUUUUUGCAAAACUUACAAUCAAACUCGUCCUUUUUAUUAUCACCUAGAGUCAUAUUAUGUUUUUUUUUUCAAAAUUUAAGUUGAAAAUUUUAUUUUUGAAUUGAAGCCAUAAUUAAUAACCAAGACUUCAUUUUGAACGGAAACCUCAUUUGAUAAGUGAGACUUAGUUUUUUAAUUAAAACCUCAUUUUGACAAUUAAAACUUCAUUUAUUAAACUAAAACCUUAAUUGUGACUUUAGUUAUUUUUUUUACUUUAAAAUUUAAUUAAAAAUAUUAAAUUUCAAAUUAUUAUUGAAAUUAAAAAUAUUUACUUUAAUAAUAAAAAAUUAUAUAUUUAAGUUUAAGGAUUCAACAUUAUUCUAAUAAAGAUAAAUUGAUAAAUAAAAUAAAUAAAUGAAUAAUUUUAUUUAUCAAUAAAUUAAUAAUUUUAAAAUAAUAAAGUUAUAUAAUAUAUAAAUAAAAUAUAAAAUUAUAUAAUUUAUUAAUUUAAGUUAUAUUACAAAUACUAUAUGUUACCGGGCAACUAAAAAGGAAGAAAGUUAUGUAUAGGUUCUCUCUUUGUAAAGACACGUAAGAUUAUAUAAUUUUCUUUUUUACUAUAUGAAUAUUUAGUAAACAAUUUUUGUGACAUAGAUGAAACUACUAAAACUUAUAUUUUGUAGUAAACAUUUUUUAAUUAAUUUUAUUAGCUAAUUUUAAAAUGUAUCUUCAAGGCAUAUAUGUUGUGGGUAUAAAUAAUAAUUUUUUUUUAAUGAAAAAUUAUAAACAUAUACUUUAAAAUAAUAAUAAAAUCUAUAUAUAAAAGCUUAAGAAUAUACUAUUAUUUUAAUAAAGAUAAAUUUGUGAAAAUACAAAUAAAUUAAUAUCUUAAAAAUAAAACAAAUUAAAUAUCUUAAAUUAAUAAAUUAUAUAAUUUUAUAUCUUAUUAUAUUUAUCAAUUUAUCUUUAAACCUAAGUCCUAAGUCCAAGGUUUAAAUAUUUUAUUAUAUUUAUUAAUUUAUCUUUAUUGAAGUAAUACUAGAUUUUUAAGUUUAAACAUAUAAUUAAUUUAUUAUUAAAGUAUAUAUUUUUAAUUUCAACAAUAAUUUAUAAUUUAAUAUUUUAAUUAAAUUUUAAAGUAAAAAAAUAAUUAAUUGAAGCUUCAAUUGAAAAUUAAGACUUUAAUAAAAAAAUGAAGUCUCAAUUAUCAAUUGUGAAUUCAAUUUAAAAAUGAGGUAUGAUUUGACAAUUAAGGUUUCAGUUUAUAAAUGAAACCUUAAUUGUCAAUUGUGGUUUUAGUUCAAAAAUAAACCCUCAAUUGAUAAUUGAGGUUUUACUUAAAUUUUAAAAUAUAUAUAUAUUAUGAUACGACUCUUAUGUGACAAUAAAGGACUAGUUUGAACAUAAAUUUUAUAAAAAUGUUAAAUCUUACAUUUCUUUUUAUACAAGCUUAUUUAUUUUUGUUUCUUAAAAAAAAAAAAAUUAUCAGCUUCCCUUGAUAAGAUUUGAGGAAAAACAAAGAUGAGGUAGGAUUGGCUCUUCCAUGCCUCUAAGUCGAGCACCAUCUUUUAGAUUUUAACAAAGCUUAUUGCUAAAAUAUUUUCAUUUAGGGUCAUUAACUUUAACUUAGGGUUCAUCGAGGAACUUUUUCAGAAAUAAUUCUUAAAAAGUAAUUCUCAAGAAUAACUUUUAAAAAUAAUAUUUUAAUAUUUUUAAAAUAAAAAGUUUUGAAGAGCUUAGAAUAUUGUCAAUUUUUUUUUAUAUUUUUAAAUAUUUCUUAAAAAUAAUUCCUAUUUAUAAUACCUUAUUUUAAGACAUUCUUCGUGUUUAUUCAAUAAUUCCUAAAAAGUAAUUAAAAUAUAAUAUAUGUAAAAAAAAUCACUUUUCAUAGUUUUAGUUUUAAAUUUAUAAUUAACAAUCGAAUGUGUUUUUAUACUUUUUUUAUUCUAAAAACCAAAAAGAUAAAUCCUUAAUAGAAAUUUUCAAACAUUGUUUUAGUGUCCCACCCCAAGUCCACCUUCGCUCUAUAUAAACUCCUAGCCAUUUCCUCACGGACCACCCCAAACCAUAAAGCCCAUCUUCCUGAAAAAAUGGGCCUCUUCAAAACCCCUUUAAUUUCCUCAUUCCUUCUCACCACCCUAUUCUUCGCCUCCUGCCACGCAGCCACGCUGAUCAACAUCCAAAACCAUUGCUCCUACACAGUUUGGGCGGCGGCGGUACCAGGUGGGGGCAGGCAGCUUGGUCCGGGCCAAUCCUGGAGCCUCGAUGCGAACCCUGGCACAGCCCGUGUGUGGGCACGUACCAACUGCACCUUUGAUGGGUCAGGGAACGGGACGUGUGAGACCCGAGAUUGUGGUGGCCGCCUCCAAUGCCAAGCCUAUGGUACACCCCCUAACACCUUGGCCGAAUUCGCACUUAACCAAUUCAACAACAUGGACUUCUUCGAUAUAUCUUUGGUUGAUGGAUUUAAUGUGCCCAUGGCUCUUAAUUCUACUUCCAAUGGGUGCACCCGUGGCAUCCAAUGCAGCGCCGACAUAGUCGGACAGUGCCCUGAUGAGCUCCGAGCUCCCGGUGGUUGCAACAAUCCAUGCACUGUUUUCAGGACCGAUGAAUAUUGUUGUUAUUCUGGGAACUGUGGCCCUACAACUUACUCCAAGUUUUUCAAGGAUAGGUGUCCGGUGGCUUAUAGCAACCCUAAUGAUGAUCAAACAAGCACCUUUACAUGCCCUGGUGGUACUAACUAUGAUGUUAUCUUCUGCCCAUGAUGCCUCUACUAGUCCUGUUAGACGAUUUGGUACCAUCUUGGGAUCCAAAUGUCUAGAAGAAUAAAUUUGAGCACAUGUCCAUGUCCAUAGUCAUGUAAUAAGAUUUCUACCAUCAUAGAAAUCGAAUGAUUUUCAGAGGGGUUAGAAGCUUUGAAUAAUGUUUAAAUGUGCUUUACUUAUAAAAGUUUAGAACUAAUUCUUCAUAAAAAUAAUUUUGUCCAAGUGUUAUUGUUUAAGAGUUUAUUUGAUAUUGAAUUAUGAAAGUAUUUUGAAUUAUUUUAACAUUUAAAAAAUAAUUUUUCUUUAAAUAUUAAAAAAUUUAAAAAUGCUUCUUAUAAUUAUUAUCAAAUAAACUCUAAAUACUAUAUAUUAAAAACAUAAUUACUAGAAUGACCUCUAAAUGAAUUCAUAUUUUAAGUACACCGAGAAUGAUAGAAUUCAGUAAUGGUGUUUUAAAUUAAAUUGGUAAAUAUUUUGGGAUUUUCCAUUUGAAUAAUUUUUAGAAGUGAAUAAAUUAUUUUUCAGCUCUAACAUAAACAAAUCCUGUUAUUGUGGUGUGGAAAAACCUUUGCUCAAGAGUCAAGAGCGGUGGUGGAGGCUUGAGUUACGUACCCAAGUUGAAUUUUUGUAAAAGGAUGUGGAGGAGUAGAGUACAAGGAAAAUUGAUUUGCGGACAAGACCAGUUAGUUAGUGAAGCUUGAUUAAAGUCGAAGUUUUGGUGUUUUCUCCCAAGACUUCCUUUGUAGUGGUCCAAAAAAUUGGUAAGGAAAUAUGACAGACAUCGAAAGAGGAUUUGGCUAAAAGUCAAUAACUAUUUGGAGCUAUGUUCCCUUCUCGGGGCGAUGGCGUUUGCUAGUAAUCUUUGACUCGCUCUUCCCCGUAGCUUCCAUAGCAGUCCAAACCGGUUGCUUGUUCAAGGAAAACACCGUAUAAAUAAGAGGGAAGUGGCUAAAAGUCUAACUAAUUAAAAUCGUAGUCAUUUAUUGUGUGGAAUAGCGGGACACAUACGUAUUGAAGUUGAACUUGUCCAUCAAUUAAAUCUAAUACAAUUUUCUUUUUCAAUCCAACUAUUACGUAAUAAAUUUUAAAUUUCAAAUAUAUUUGCUUUUAAAAUUUACUCAAACCAAUUUAAUAACUUACAAAUAACUAAUUCAAUAACUUGGACUUCUUUAAUAUAGUAUUGUCCAAGCAUAUAUUUGAUAUGUCUUUAAUUUAUUUUUAAUUGUGCUUCUAAGCUACGUUUGGUUCUCGAAAAAUUUGAGAGAAAAUUUAAAAGAAAAAAAUUACAGAUGAAAAAAAAUAAAAAAUAGUUUAAAUAUAAUAAAUUAUAUUUGAUUUGAUUUUCUAUUUUUUUUUAUAGUGAAACAAAAUAUGAGAAAACCAUUUUUAUUAAUAUUUUUUUUCUUUAGAACACUUUCCAACAUAACUUACCAUUUAUUUUUUUGGUCAUGCAAAAGUUGAUGUAAAAAAUAUAGUUAGUCUCUCUUAUAUCAUUCAUUUGAAAUUGAGUAGAUUAAUGGUGUUUGUUUUUUUGGUUUUUUACUUAAAGCAAUUUAGUUUUAGAAUUUAGGUUGUUUGUUUUUCUACUUUUUCAUGACUUAUUAUAAACUUUUUACUAAAUAGAAAAAGUCAAAAUAUGUAGCUUUUUCUAAGUAGGAAAAAUAACAUAUUGAUUUUUUUUACUUUUUAAUACUUAAUAGAAAUAAAAUACUACAAAAACAAAUAACCUAAUAUUUAACACUAUUAAGCAUUAAGGUUCUAUUUAGAAUUAAGUAAAAAAACAAACAUCAUCUUCACACUAAGUAAUAACCCUAUAUUAGUCCUAAUAAGUAAUAAAAUUCCUCUACUAAUACAUGGUAUGGAUAAAAUAUUUACUAAAUUAACAACAUGAAUGUAAGUAAUUUAGAUAUUAGUAGGAUAUAUUUUUGUCUUAAUUAUUUAAAAAUAUAAACAUAUUUAUAUUAGGUUCUUGCUUUUUAUAAAUAUUAAUUCAACAUUUUUAGUAAUUUUUUUUUUAAAUUUAAUAAUUACAUAACCAAAAGUAAAAAAAAAAAAAAAUCAUUUUAUGAUGAUUUUUUGUCAAUUUUCAAUGAUUUCUUUCUAGUUCUUUGUUUUCAGUAGGUUAUUGAGUUAAUAAAGAAAUAAUGAAAUAUAAUGUGAUUGGGUUUUGGGUAUUUUUUUUUUUUAUAAUUUGUUUAAAAAAAAUUAGAUAAUAAAAAUAUCAUAUAUAUAUAUUUUGUUAUAAAAUUUUUAAAAGGAAAAAAAUUGUUGCUAAAUAUGAUUUUCAAAAACAUUUAUCACAAUUUUAAUUCAAAAAAUUGAAAAAUAAAAGUGUAAUGGAAGAUACUACUAAUGUAGUACAAGCAAUAAAUAUUUUUACCCUUAGUUGUGAAAAAUAUAGAGGAAAGAAAUUUUAUGAUGUCUGUUUCUAGAAGGUUGUAGGAAACCUGUUUGCCACGCCAGCCUAUUAAUAUUUUCUUCUUCGAAAAUUAAGAAAUUAUGGCAUUUUUUUAAAAAAAAAUUAUGCUUAAAAAUAGUUUUUUAUUUAGAAUAUAAAACUUAAAUUUAAAGAAAUUGAGAAUAUAUUCUAAAACUGAAUUAUCUUUUAGAAUAAAUUUAAGGGUUUUUUUUUAUUAUGUUCUAUUAAAUAAUAAUUAUUAAAAAUAUGAAAAUUAUUUUUUUUUAAAAAUAUAUUAUAUAUGUGUAUGUCAACUUUAAGAAAAAUAAAUAAAUAAAUAAAUAUAUAUAUAUAUAUAUAUAUAUAUAUUUUAUGUCUGAGAUUUUAAACAAAAUUUUAUUUAUAAAAAUAAUUAAAAAUUAUGUUUUGCCUAACAUGCCUAUGUUCUAGUCGUCUACGGAGUUGGUUCGGGAUGGCAGUGGAAAAUAUACUUUAGAUAUUUUCUCUUCUCUAUAGUCAGAUGCUUCUGCGUAUUUUAAAUGGUAAAGACCAAAACUCAAUUAUGAUAUUAUCGAAAAUAGACCCAGUCCAAAGUGGUCAUUCAUACUGGCAUAGUUCCAGGAAGGUGAUCAACAUCAGGGCUGUCUCAUUCAAGAAAGGAAAUUUGCACCCACGUUUUCUAGAUACAUUCCUACUGUUCUGAUGAUUCGGUAUGCACGAAUUUAUGCAAAGGUUAGGCAGAUUUCUGAAAAUAAUAAAAAUGGUAAUGAAGUGGACCCUUCUCUCUGUAAAAUAUUUUAAAUAAAAAAUACUUAUUUUUCUAAAAAUAAGUAUUUUCAAUAUGUAAUAUAUGUUUUAAAAAAAAAAAUUAAUUUACAAGCUUAUUUAUUUUUAUUUCUUAAAAAUAUUAUCGGCUUUUGUUGAUAAGAUUUGAGGAAAGAAAAAGGGCCACCUCACAUCGACUCUUCCAUGCCCGCAGGCCCCAACGAAGUCGACCACAAAGAUGACGCUAUCUUUUGGAAUUUUUACAGGGAGGUUUUUUCACAUACACACCAACCCAAGCCCACCUUCACCCUAUAAAAACCCCCACCCGGUUCCUCACAGAUCACCCCACUCCAACCAUCAAGCCUAUAUAUCUUCCGAAACUCAACAAUGGGCCUCUGCAAAAUCCUCUCCAUUUCCUCAUUCCUUCUCACCACCCUAUUCUUCACCUCCAGCUAUGCAGCUACGUUCAACAUCCAAAACCAUUGCUCCUACACGGUUUGGGCUGCGGCAGUCCCAGGCGGGGGCAUGCAGCUUGGCUCAGGCCAAUCCUGGAGCCUCAAUGUGAAUGCCGGCACCACUGGAGGCCGUGUUUGGGCCCGUACCAACUGCAACUUCGAUGCGUCAGGGAAUGGGAAGUGUGAGACCGGGGACUGUGGUGGCCUCCUCCAAUGCACGGCCUAUGGUACACCCCCUAACACCUUAGCCGAAUUCGCACUUAACCAAUACAGCAACUUGGACUUCUUUGAUAUAUCUUUGGUUGAUGGAUUUAAUGUUGCUAUGGCCUUUAAUCCUACUUCCAAUGGGUGCACCCGUGGCAUCAGUUGCACCGCCGACAUCGUGGGAGAGUGCCCCGCUGCGCUAAAGACUACCGGUGGUUGCAACAACCCAUGCACCGUUUUCAAGACCGAUGAAUAUUGUUGCAAUUCUGGGAGCUGUAAUGCUACAACUUACUCCGAGUUUUUCAAGACUAGGUGCCCUGAUGCUUAUAGCUACCCUAAGGACGAUCAGACAAGCACCUUCACAUGCCCUUCCGGGACCAAUUAUGAAGUUAUCUUCUGCCCAUAAAUCUAUUAUUUAAAUCAUAUGCUAGUAUGCCUCUACUGGUCUCAACUAUUAGGAGGCAAUGGUAUCCACCUUGGGUUCCAAAAGCCUAGAGGAAUAAAGUUGAGCCCAUAUUCGUGGUCAUGUAUUAAGAUUUCUACACUAGUCGAAGCAAUGGAUGCCUUUUUUUAUAUAGAUAUAUGCUAUCUUCUUCUUCUAAUCUCUGUGGUCCCUUCCAAGUAACAUUUCAUAUAGAUAUAUGAAUUUUAAUGAUUAUUCUUCUUCAGAAUUCUUUUUUUUUUUUUUUUUGAAAAUGAAAUUAAGCUUAACAUGAACAAAAUUCUGCUAUCAUGGUACGGAGAAAUCUUUGCUUGAGAGCGGUGGUUGAGGAUUGAGUCACCUACCCAAGUCAAAUUUUUGUAACAAUUAGAUGUUCAUCUUUAGAGUACUACAAGGAAAAUUGAUGUGAGGAUAAAGACCAGUUAACGAAGCUUGACUGACGUCAAAAUUUUAUUUUAUUUCCUUUUCUCUAAUCCUACCUUGUAGCGGUCCAAAUUAAUUGUCUUGACAAGGAAAUAUAACACAUAGCCAAGGAGGAUUUGCCUAAAAGCCAUCAUCCUGUUUGAAAACUACCUCCCUUAUUGUGCACAUGACACUUUUUCUAAGGGGAAUAAUCCAACCAUACAUUGGACCAAUAAAAUAAGUAUUUUUGGGAUUUUAUUUUUACCUUCACAAAUUGAGUGCGUAAAGUGCGGGGGAAAAAAACUCAUUCAUGCAUUUCAAUAACACUUGUGAAUUUAUUCCAAAAUUACAUUCAAAGUACACCUAUCAUUUUUUUUUACAUCAACUCUCUCACACCUCCAUUUCACCCGCCAUGUUCAUACGGUUUUUUUAUCUCUCACCAACAUAUUCAUAGUCUCAUGUAUUUUCUUAUAAAACAUCUUUAAUUUCAAUUUUUUUUUCACUCUCUAAUCUCUCCAUAUUUAUUGAUUUUAAUCAUUUUUUAGACACAUUAAACUUAAAAUGAUAAUAUAUAAUAAAUAAUUAAUAAUAAAAAAUUAAAUAAAAACAUAAUAUUUAAUGAACAAAAAUUAAAAUAUUAUCUCACAAAUAAUAUACUUGAUAAUUUUAAAUAUUAAUUAUAAUAAUGUUUAAGAUUUAAAUUUAAAAAUUAUGUUUUUAUUAUUUAGAGGCUUAUGAUAUAAUUUUUUUUAUAUUAAUACUAAAUAAAAGAUUUAUUGAUUUUGUAAAUCUUAUCAUACGUAAAAGUAAAAAAUAUCUUUGUAAUAUUAUUUUAUUAUUUUUAUUUUGAUAUAAAAUUUUUCAUUUGUAAUAUUAUUUUAUUAUUUUUAUUUUGAUAUAAAAUUUUUCAUAUCAAAAUCACAAUAAGUGAUAGUAGUUUUUUUUUUGUUAUGGUUUUAAUUGUGGUUUUAACUUUUUACUUGGUUAAAUUUUUUAAUUUUUUAUCAAGAUAAAAUAUAAAAGAAAAUAUGUUUUUUCAUAAAAAAAAAAUACAUUGUUUUAGGGAAAUUGAGAUACUUAUCUCUUUUAUCAUGAUGCAUAUACUCCUUUUGGAAUUCUCGGGAAGUGUUUUUAAAUUCUCUCCCACCUCGAAAAAGACUUUGAAACUUCAAGUAAGAAAAAUAAAUACAUCCUUUAAGAAAAAUGGAUUUUCUUUGAAUUGGUUGCCUCACAAUAUUUUAAAUGAUAAAGACUAAAAUUCAAUUAUGAUAUUAUCGAAAAUAGUCCCAAUCUAACGACUAGUCAAGAUAUUUGAAGUGGCCAAUCGUAUUGGAAGAAUUCCAGGAAGGUGCUCAACAGGGUUGUCUCAUUCAAAUAAGGAAAUUUGAAAUAAAUUUUCUCAAUACCAUGCACCCACGUUUUCUAGAUACAUUCCUACUGUUCUCAGAAUUGAGUGCUCAUGAAUUUACAUAGAAGUUAGGCAGAUUUCUGGAAAUAAUAAAAAUGAUAAUCACGUAGAACCUUGUCUCUGUAAAUUAUUUUAAAUAAAAAAUACUUAUUUUUCUAAAAAUAAGUAUUUUCAAAAUGUAAUAUAUGUUUUUUUUUUUUUUAAAUAAUAAUAAUUUACAAGCUUUUUUAUUUUUAUUUCUUAAAAAAAUUAUGGGCUUUUGUUGAUAAGAUUUGAGGAAAAACAAAAAGGGCCACACUACAUUGACUCUUCCAUGCCUACAGGCCACAACGAAGUCGACCACAAAGAUGACGCCAUCUUUUGGAAUUUUUACAGGACGGUUUUUCCACAUACACACCAACCCAAGCCCACCUUCACCCUAUAUAAACCCCCACCCAUUUCCUCACAGAUCACCCCACUCCAACCAUCAAGCCUAUCUUCCGAUCCUCAACAAUGGGCCUCUGCAAAAUCCUCUCCAUUUCCUCAUUCCUUCUCACCGCCCUAUUCUUCACCCCCAGCUAUGCAGCCACCUUCAACAUCCAAAACCAUUGCUCCUACACGGUUUGGGCUGCGGCAGUCCCAGGCGGGGGCAUGCAGCUUGGCUCAGGCCAAUCCUGGAGCCUCAAUGUGAAUGCCGGCACCACUGGAGGCCGUGUUUGGGCCCGUACCAACUGCAACUUCGAUGCAUCAGGGAAUGGGAAGUGUGAGACCGGGGACUGUGGUGGCCUCCUCCAAUGCACGGCCUAUGGUACACCCCCUAACACCUUAGCCGAAUUCGCACUUAACCAAUUCAGCAACUUGGACUUCUUUGAUAUAUCUUUGGUUGAUGGAUUUAAUGUGCCUAUGGCCUUUAAUCCUACUUCCAAUGGGUGCACCCGUGGCAUCAGUUGCACCGCCGACAUCGUGGGAGAGUGCCCCGCUGCGCUAAAGACUACCGGUGGUUGCAACAACCCAUGCACCGUUUUCAAGACCGAUGAAUAUUGUUGCAAUUCUGGGAGCUGUAGUGCUACAGAUUACUCAAGGUUUUUCAAGACUAGGUGCCCUGAUGCUUAUAGCUACCCUAAGGACGAUCAGACAAGCACCUUCACAUGCACUGCCGGUACCAAUUAUGAAGUUGUCUUCUGCCCAUAAAUCUAUUAUUUAAAUCAUAUGCUAGUAUGCCUCUACUAGUCUCAACUAUUAGGAGGCAAUGGUUUCCACCUUGGGUUCCAAAAGCCUAGAGGAAUAAAGUUGGGCACAUUUUCGUGGUCAUGUAACAAGAUUUCUACACUAGUAGAAGUAAUGGAUGUUUUUUUUUUUUAUAUAUAUAUAUAUAUAUAUAGAUUUAUGCGAUCUUCUUUCUUUCUAACCUCUAUGGUCCCGUCCAAGUAAUAUUUCAUAUAUAUUUUAUUCUAUAUAAUAUCUGCGGAUAAGAUCGGUUAAUGAAGCUUGACUAAAGUCAAAAUUUUAUUUUAUUUCAUUAUCCUACUUGGAAACUACCUUCCUUACUGGGUACAUGGCAUUUUUUUUUUAAUAAUAUUUGACUCAGGUUUCCGAGAAAACAUUGUAGCAGUCCAAACACGGCGUAAAUUGGGACUUUUCUCAAUAGUAGAGUAAUUUAAAAAAGUUAUUCUUCAAUUACUGUAGUGGAAGAAGUUAUUACAAAUAUAGGGUAGUUUUUGCCAGAUAGGAGAGAGGAGAGAGGAGAGAGGGUGAGAGAGAGGAGAGAGGAAAGAGGAGAUAGGAGAGAGGAGAGAGGAGAGAGGGUGAACGGGUAAAAUUUUUUAAAAAAGGGAACUCGUCUCUUGAAGAGACGAGUUCCAUGAAAAAAAAUAUAUAUAUAAUUUUUAAAAAAUUCUCAAAUUAAAAAAAAAAAAAUUGGAACUAAAGGCUUGACACGAGUUCCCAUGGGAAAAAUAUAUAUUAUUUAUUUAAAAUAUAUUUUUCAUUUAAAAAAAAUCCCAAAAAAAAUAAAAAAUAAAAUUUCUAAAAGGAACUCGUCUCUUUUUUAAAAAAAAUAUAUUUUUUAUUUUAAAAUCCCAAAUUUAAAAAAAAAAAACGCAAUUCCAAAAGGAACUCGUCUCUUUAAAAAUAUAUAUAUUUAAAAAAAAAAAUUCCUAAAGGGAACUCGUCUCUUGAAGAGACGAGUUCCCUUUAGGAAAAAAAAUAUUUUGUUUUUAAAAUAUAUUUUUUAUUUUAAAAAAUCCCAAAUAAAAAAAAAUAAAAAAUAAAAAACAAUUCCAAAGGGAACUCGUCUCUUCAAGAGACGAGUUCCCAUGUAAAAAAAAAUAUUUUUUUAAAAAAUAUAUAUAUUUAAAAAAAAAAAUUCAGAGUUACUUUAGGAAAAAAAAUAUUUUUUUUUUAAAAUAUAUUUUUUAUUUUAAAAAAUCCCAAAUUUAAAAAAAAAAAAACACAAUUCCAAAGGGAACUCGUCUCUUCAAGAGACGAGUUCCCAUGUAAAAAAAAUAUUUUUUUUAAAUAUAUAUAUUAAAAAAAAAAAAACAAUUCCUCAAAAUUCCUAAAGGAACUCGUCUNNNNNNNNNNNNNNNNNNNNNNNNNNNNNNNNNNNNNNNNNNNNNNNNNNNNNNNNNNNNNNNNNNNNNNNNNNNNNNNNNNNNNNNNNNNNNNNNNNNNAAAGGAACUCGUCUUUUGGAAGAGAACGAGUUCCCAUGUAAAAAAAAAAAAAAAUUUUAAAAAAAAUAUAUAUUUAAAAAAAUAAAAAUUCAGGGUUCCCUUUAGGAAAAAAAAUAAUUUUUUUUUAAAAAAAAUAUUUUUUUUUUUAAAAAAUCCCCAAUUAAAAAAAAAAAAAAAAAAAAAAAACCCAAUUCCAAAGGGAACUCGUCUCUUCAAGAGACGAGUUCCCUUGUAAAAAAAAUUAUUAUUUUUAAAUAUAUAUAUAUUAAAAAAAAAAAAAAAAAAAAACAAUUCCUCAAAAUUCCUAAAGGAACUCGUCUCUUCAAGAGACGAGUUCCCAUAUAAAAAAAAAAAUUAAAAAAAAAUAUAUAUUUAAAAAAAUAAAAAUUCAGAGUUCCCUUAGGAAAAAUAAUAAUUUUUUAAAAAAAUAUAUUUUUUAUUUUAAAAAAUCCCAAAUUAAAAAAAAAAAAAAAAAAAAAAAACACAAUUCCAAAGGGAACUCGUCUCUUAUUUUUUUUUUUUCCAUAGGAACUCGUCUCUUCAAUAGACGAGUUCCCUUGAUGAAUUGUUUUUUUUUUUUUUUUUUUUAAAUAUAUUUUUUUAAAAAAAAUUUGUUUUUACGUGGGAACUCAUCUUAAAGAGACGAGUUCCCUUGAGGAAUUGUUUUUUUAUUUUAUUUUAUAUUUUAUUUUAAUAUAUAUAUUUUAAAAUAAAAAAUAUUUUUAAGAGACGAGUUCCUUUGGAAUUGUGUUUUUUUUUUUUUUUUUUAAUUUGGGAUUUUUUAAAUUUUUUAAAAAAAUAAUUUUUUUUCCUAAAGGGAAUUCUGAAUUUUUAAUUUUUUAAAUAUAUAUAUUUAAAAAUUUUUUUUUUUUUAAAAAACAAAAAUUUUUUUUAAAAAAUAUAUAUAUUUAAAAAAAAAUUAUAUUUUUUNNNNNNNNNNNNNNNNNNNNNNNNNNNNNNNNNNNNNNNNNNNNNNNNNNNNNNNNNNNNNNNNNNNNNNNNNNNNNNNNNNNNNNNCGUCUCUUCAAGAGACGAGUUCCCUUUGGAAUUGUGUUUUUUUUUUUUUUUUUUCUUUUUUUUAAUUUGGGAUUUUUUAAAAUAAAAAAUAUUUUUUUUUUCCUAAAGGGAACUCUGAAUUUUUUUUUUAAAUAUAUAUAUAUUUUUUAAAAAAAUAUUUUUAAAAAAAAAAUAUUUUUUUUUGUUUUUUUUUUUUUAAUUUGGGAUUUUUUAAAAUAAAAAAUAUAUUUUAAAAAAAAAAUAUUUUUUUUCCUAAAGGGAACUCGUCUCUUCAAAAAACAAGUUACCUUUAGGAAUUUUUUUUUUAAAUAUAUAUAUUUUAAAAAAAAAAUAUUUUUUUUACAUGGGAACUCGUCUCUUCAAAAGACGAGUUCCUUUUGGAAUUGUGUUUUUUUUUUUUUUUUUUUUAAUUUAGGAUUUUUUAAAAUAAAAAAUAUAUUUUUAAAAAAAAUUAUUUUUUUUCCCAAGGAACUCGUCUCUUGAAGAGACGAGUUCCCUUUAGAAAUUUUUUUUUUUUUUUUUUGGAUUUUUUUAAAUAAAAAAUAUAUUUUAAAUAAAUAAUAUAUUUUUUUUCCCAGGGAACUCGUCUGAAGCCUUUAGUUCCAAAUUUUUUUUUUUAAUUUGAGAAUUUUUUAAAAAUUAUAUAUAUAUAUUUUUUCAUGGAACUCGUCUCUUCAAGAGACGAGUUCCCUUUUUUAAAAAAUUUUACCCGUUCAUCCUCUCUCCUCUCUCCUAUCUCCUCUUUCCUCUCUCCUCUCUCCUCUCUCUCACCCUCUCUCCUCUCUCCUCUCUCCUCUCUCCUAUGUGGCAAAAACUACCCUAUAUUUGUAAUAACUUCUUCCACUACAGUAAUUGAAGAAUAACUUUUUUAAAUUACUCUACUAUUGAGAAAAGUCCGCGUAAAUUGUCAUAGCCCUUUAUUGCAGAGAAUAGUGGAAAAGAAAGUUGUUAAAAGUGGCAUAAGUAAUUCAAACCAUAACCCUAUAUUGAGGAGAGUUAUGACUUAUGACACAUAAAUAUUGAAGUUCCACUUGUCUAUCAAUUAAAUAAAUAUAUGUUUUAAUUUAUUUUUGUAAAAAAAAUCAAUAAGAUUUUUAAUAUUUAUUUUACUAAUUUUAUUUAAAGAACUUAUGAUUUAAAAACGAGUUUAAUAUGAUUUAGAUAAGAAAUAUUUUAAUAUUUAAUAUAAAUUUUAUAAUACUAAUAUUACCUAUUAAAAAUUAAGAUUUUGGUUGCACCAUCAACAUUUAGUUAAAUCUAAAAAUAAAAAACUAUUUCAAACAAAGCUUUAUUUAUUCAUCUAUCAUGCUAAUGGAGCCUCAGAAGUUAAAAAGAUUAACUGGGCCAUGGUUAUAGAAGCCCAAAAGAUUUAUUGAUGGGGCGGAGCAGGUGGGCCUGGCCUGCCAUGUGCAGCUGUAUUUUUUUGACUUGUCUUCAAGACAACAAGUCAACGCCUCCGUUCAAUGAAGCGGAUGUAUCGGAAAAACCCAAAAGCUUCAUUUUCCCCUCAAAACGCGUAAACCCCAAAAUGAGCUUCUUCUGCAACUGCAGCAACCUCUCUACUUCCUUCUGCCUCCUCAUCCUCCCGUUCUUCUUCACCUUCAUCCAUGCAACCACUUUCGAAAUCCAAAACAGCUGCCCCUACACCAUCUGGGCAGCCGCCGUACCCGGCGGCGGAAGGCAACUCGACCAAGGCCAGACCUGGAACCUUUCAGUGAGCUCCAACAUAACGGGCCGCAUCUGGGGCAGAACCAAGUGCAGCUUCGAUGAAGCCGGAAGGGGGAGCUGCGAGUCCGGUGGAUGUGGAGGCCUCCUUGAAUGCCAAGAAUAUGGUUCACCGCCCAACACCAUUGCCGAGUACACCCUAAACCAAUCCAACAAAACUGAUUUAUUCGAUGUUUCUCUGGUGGAUGGAUUCAACCUUCCAAUGGAGUUUAGCCCAACUUCUGAUGGGUGCAGAGGGGCCAAUUGUACAGGCGACAUUAACGGGCCGUGCCCAAAUGAGUUGAGGGACCCGGGUGGGUGUAACAACCCAUGUACCGUUUUCAAAAAUUCUCAGUACUGUUGCGAUUCCGGGAGCUGUGGCCCUACAACUUACUCCGAGUUUUUCAAGGAUAGGUGCCCAAAUGCAUACAGUUACCCUGAGGAUGAUUCAACCAGUUUGUUUACGUGCUCCACUGGCUCUAACUAUCGUGUAGUCUUCUGCCCUUGAAUUAUGGGUUGCUAUUAAUUGUUUGAAGUAUUUUCUGAAUUGCCGUGUAAUUUUAUGCUAUGAGGGUAUUUCUUCCUAAGUUUUGUUGGAUGAUCCGUUGAAAUAAAUACUCGAUAACUUCUGUAUUAUUUUAAAAAGUAAUGUAUCAAUAUGCCCAUUUUUAAAAGCUAUAGUGUUAUAAAUUUCAAACUCUUUAAAAUUUUGAGAGAUGAUACUAAGAACUAGCAUACUUUUGUAAAAGAAGUCAUAAAAGGAGAGUCAUCUAAAAAUUUUAAACUUUUAAAAUUUUUCACUAAAACCAAUGUCUCUCUCCGCUUGUUGACUCGUCUGGAAGUCAAGUCCAACGACCCCAUAGCCGUCAACCGAAACCGUUCAUGAAAAAUCUGAUCACCUUCCUCGCCAAAAUGCCAAAAUCCCAAGAUGACUUUCUUCAGCAGCUGCAACAACCUCUCCACUUCCUUCUUCCUCCUCAUCACCACUCUCUUCUUCACCUUCCUCCACGCUUCCGCGCUUCCACCUUCCACAUCCAAAACAACUGCCACUUCACCCUGUGGGCCGCGCACGGCCGUUCCCCGCGGCGGAACGCAACUCUGAUGGGUGGGCCAAAAAAUUCCCAAAUUAUUGGGAGUGGGCCUUUAUAAGUCCCAAAUUGCUAGGGGUGGGCCAAUGGGUAGUGAUGAUGUCAUAGUGCUCUAGCCCAAUUUUUUUUUAAAAUAAACAAAUAAAGGAUUGUAAUCAGUUUAAAAUGUUGAUAUACGGACAAAAAUUGAACAUUCAGACUAAUAAAAGUUAAUAAAUCCCAUACCAAUUGUUACUAAAUUUAAAAUCUAUUUAUCUAAUGAAAAAAUUUAGAGAAGUUAAAAAACUUUAACAAAAAUAGGUAUAAUUCCAAUAGAGAUUAUAUUUGACAAUUUUUCAUACUAGUUCAUGGACAGAUAAUGAAAGAAAAGUUGAAUCAUAUUUUGUUUAAUUUACUCUUCUUUUUUUUUAAUAUUUUUAAAAUUAUAUAUAUUUUUCAUUUCUCCGUAUUUUCCCUUUUUUCUCUAAAAAAAUAUGUGAAUAUAACUUUGUUCAUUUACAAUUAAUAAUGUCUUUUUCCGCUAGUUUUCUCCAAGUGAACGAUAAAUGUACUUGCAACAAAGUGUGUUCAAAUUAUUUUUUCGGGUAUUUUUUUUGAAGCUUAAGUUCAUUUUUAGAAGAAAUAGAUAAUAGUUUUAUUAUAAUAGAGUUGUAAUGUUUUAUGUAUUUUUUUAAUACUUUAAACGUCUGUAAUUGACCUUGAAAAUAACAGUUUUUGAGCUUAUAGUAAGACGUUUAUACUUGUGGAGGCAUCCGAUCUAAUGAUUUGAAAUAUUUAUUAUUUGCGCAGUGAAUAAAGACGUUGAUAGGAUAUCCUUUUAUCAUUUUAAUAUUUCGACGGAGAGAGGCUUUUAUCCAGAUGGAUGUAGGACCCACAGACUUCUCAUUAAUUUUUGAUAAUUAUUUUAUAUUUUAUUUUAUUUUUAAAAAAUUGUUUUCAAAUGACAUCGUCAAAUAGGCUGUUCGUAAUCAUCACUUCCAAUGCAACAUCUUUCGUUGAAUGGAAACUCAGAAAAUCUAAAGUAUCAUCGUAAAAUUCAUGAGGAAUAUGCCAGAAGAUGACCGUUUCAAACCUUUUAUAAUAUUAUUAUAUUUUCUGUAUUUUCUUUCCGCAAAUUUUCCUGAACUAAACACGAGUGAUAAACUACACCUUGAUUUGCGGGGAAAAUCCAUUGGCUAGAGAUUGACUGAAAGCCAAAACUUAGGCUUCGUUGCAAGACAUUUUGGCAGCCAACGACUCAGGCAAACACCGUAAAAGUCUAAAGAGACGCUGUCCGCCCAAACAAUCCACAAAUCUCUUAUCUUUUUAUCAUCUAAUACUCGGAUUCUAGAAAAGUCUACUGUAUCUCUUAGGUUAUAUUUAGUUUCGAAAAAUACAAAAGAAAGAAAAAAAAUAUUAAAAAAAAUAAUUUUUUCAUAUUCGAUUGUCUUAUAAAUUAUUUUAAAAAAAAUUAAAUAUGAUUAAAAUUAAUUAAAAAUUUAUGGAUUUUAAAAUUAUUUAAUCUUUAUAUUGAUGAGUUAAAAUAAAUAAAAAUAAUUUUUCAUCUUUUAACUCUAUUUUUUAUUUUUCUUCAUUUUUUUCUUUUAUUUUUUUUCUUUUUUUUCUUUUUCUUUUUUAUAUAUAUUUUCCCUUAAAUUUUAUGAGAACCACAUAUAAUCUUAAAAUUUUAAUAAUUUUAAUUUAUCAUUCUAAUCAUUCUAGAAAAUUUCAUCAUUAAAAAAUGUAAGAAAAAAAAAUUAGGGUGAAUAAAUUAUUUUUAUAUAUUAUUUUAAACUUAUUUUAUUUAUUUUAAAUUUUAAUAUAAAAAUUGUAUGAGCUUGUAAUUAAAUUUAUUUUAUUAAUUUUUUUUUAUAAUAUAGUCAAACAUAUAUAAAAAAAAAUCAAUUUUAUUAACAAUUUUUUUCUUUUCUUCAUUGAUUUGCUCCUGACGCCAUUUCAUCUAGAAUGGCAUAGAUAAUUUAAAGCAACAGUCAAAGGUCAUCCAAAAAAUUGAACAUGAUAGGUUGUUCAAAUGCAAGUUUACCGGUUCCCCGGAUUCUUCUAAGUUCUGGCAGCUUGACUUCACUUCCGCAUUCUGCAUUGGAGAUGUCACAGAUGUAUGGCCAUGAUUAAUGCCGUUCUCUUCAGUCAUUCCUAUGUGUGUGGACGCGUGAUGAAUUGGAAUCUAAGCAGGAAAGAUGCACGCUCCAUUCAAGUCACGUUUUCUCGUGGGAGGAUUGUCUUGAUUUUAUUAUGCGUGUAUUCUCCUGACUCUACCAUGGCCACUUGGCUUGCCAAGUCUAGAGUAAAGCCAUGAGUGGACAAUUCCAUUUCUUUCUUCAUCUUUUUCCACGGAAUCAAGUCCAACAAAAUGCUGAAAUUUCUAUUCGAAUUAACCCACUUCUCACGUAAUCUCCCAAACCAUUGCCACCAUUCAUCUAUAAAAACCCUACCAUACAUGCAUCUCCAAAACAUCAAUUAACCCAAACCCAUGUUAGUGCUCUGUCUUGGCUUGCCCUGUUUAAGAACAUUCUCUUUUAUAUAUAUUGUUAUACAACUUUCUACGUGAUAUGUUCUCAUUGGUUUAAUGUAUUACUAAAAAAUGUUCUUCAGGAUUUUGGAUGAGGUUGUGUUUGCAUUAACAUGAUCACUUUCAAAUUAUUUUUUGUAGGCAUGGUUCGUGCAGCUAUCAAGUACAAAUAGUUUGUGUAACUGGAUGUUGAUCGUCAUCUUCAUUGUGGUUACUUUUAAUAUCACUUUGUCUAAAUUAUUCUAAGACUAAACAUGAAAGUUCAAUAUCAUUUUGUUUAAAAUAGUAUAAGAAGGAACAUUGAAUAUGCAAAACAUUCAUACGAAGGACAAUCCGAUAGAUGCCUUAAUAAAAUCAAUUAACACUGAUAAAUUCAAUUAGUGCAAAUCCUCUUUUGAUUUCACAAUAACAUAAGCAACAUAUGAUAGGGUAAAACUUAGAAAUAUGAUUUCAAGUGAAAUAAUAUUAACGUUAAAGUCAUCUCACAUAAGAAAAAAAAAGAAAAAAAAAAGAGCUUCUUUAUGCUAUCUGAGGGGCAUCCAUCCUUGAUAUUCUUCAUCCUAAAAAAAACUUUUAUUUUUUUGCAAGUUUUUAUGUUAUCUCCUCUAAAUCGUAAAAAGAGAGGUUACAAUUUUGUAUUUAUAUGAUGAAUAUUUUUUAGUUUUGUUCUUUGGGUUUCCUUCAUAAUUAAAAGGGUUUAAUAUGUAAGUAUUUUUAAUUAUUUUAUUUAUUCUAUUACAUUAUUAUUUUAUUAUUCUAUUUUUAAAUUAUGGGAGCAUCAUUUCAAAACACUACCUUUAAAAAAAUAAAUAAAAAUAUAGUUUUUUAUAUUUGAGAUUUUAAACAAAAUUUUAUUUAUAAAAAUAAUUAAAAUUACGUUUUGCCUAACAUGCGUACGUUGUAGUCAUCCGCGGAGUUGGUUCGAGAGGACAUUGGAAAAUCACACAAAGUGAUCAUGUGCCUUUAAUUGGAAAAUAAACAGUGGAUUUUCUCUUCUCUAGAAUUGGUUGCUUCUCAGAUAAAGGUCAAAAUUCAAUUAUGAUAUUAUGGAAAAUAGUCCCAGUCGAACCAAUUUUCAAGGCAUUUGAAGUGGCCAUUCAUUCAAGAAAGGAAGUUUGAAAUAAAUUUUUCCAACGCAACGCGGCACGCACCCGGCCAUGUUUUCAAGAUGCCUUCCUACCUGUCCUCAGAAUUCAGUAUUCAUGAAUUUCCAUAAAAGUUAGACAGGUUUCUGAAAAUAAUAAAAAUGAUAAUGAUGUGGACCCCUUGAAAUAAAUUCAGUAUUCAUGAAUGGGCAAUUCUGGUUCUUUCAUCAUCUUUUUAUCUGUAAUCAAUCAUCCAAUCAAGUCCAACAAAAUGCUGAAAUUUCCAUUCGAAUUAACCCACUUCUCACGUAAUCUCCCAAACCAUAGCCACCCUUCAUCUAUAAAAACCCCACCAUACAUCCAUCUCCAAGACACCGCAUUAGCCCAAACCCAUAAGAAUUCUAAAUACUUCGAUUCUGAUCAUCUGAUUCAUUCAACAUCAAAAUGCGCUUCACCACCACCCUCCCAAUUCUCUUCCCUCUCCUCCUCAGCCUCCUCUUUACCUCCACCCAUGCAGCCACCUUCGACAUCCUCAACAAAUGCACCUACACCGUCUGGGCAGCCGCCUCCCCCGGUGGUGGACGGAGACUUGACUCCGGCCAGUCCUGGACAAUCACCGUCAACCCCGGCACCACCAAUGCUCGCAUCUGGGGCCGAACCUCAUGCACCUUCGACGCCAAUGGGCGUGGCAAAUGCGAAACUGGUGACUGCAAUGGCCUCCUCGAAUGCCAGGGCUACGGUUCUCCCCCAAACACCCUCGCUGAAUUCGCUCUAAACCAGCCCAAUAACCUCGACUACAUCGACAUCUCCCUUGUCGAUGGCUUCAACAUCCCCAUGGACUUCAGCGGCUGCCGCGGCAUCCAGUGCUCCGUUGACAUCAAUGGGCAAUGCCCCAGUGAGUUGAAGGCCCCCGGUGGAUGCAACAACCCGUGUACAGUGUUCAAGACCAAUGAGUAUUGUUGCACUGAUGGACCUGGAAGCUGUGGUCCGACCACAUACUCCAAAUUCUUCAAGGACAGGUGCCCAGAUGCUUAUAGCUACCCUCAGGAUGACAAAACCAGCUUGUUCACCUGUCCUUCUGGUACCAACUACAAGGUCACGUUUUGCCCUUGAAAGUUGGAACUCAUUUUCCUUCACUUUCUUGGUGAAUGAAAAGAGUACAAGACACCCAGGAAAGUUUUAGUUUUCAGCGUAGAGAAGAAUAAAUUUGUGCACGUAAUGAUAGUAUUGUGCGCAUGUGAUGUGAUAAUCAGUCUGUAAUGUGAUUCCAGUGAAAAAUAAAUGAAGAAGCCUACUUACUCAUUUUCACCUUGGAUGAAACUUGUCAACCUAUUUAACUUCUUUAACAAAAACAUAGUUUUUGGGUUCAACCUCCAUAAUACAAAACCCUUCAUUAUUUUUUGGCCUCAUUCAUUUAUUUAUUUAUUUAUAAAAAUAACUCUUUCUUUUAAAACACACAUAUAAAUACUUGAAAUAGUUAAGGACAUUUAUGUUAAAAAUUGAUUACUCUUCAAACAAAAACAUGGAAGAGGUUAAAUUCAUAAAUAUGAAGACUAUUUCAUCCCUUUUAACUAAUUAAUUCUUAAAUGAAUUACAUAAUAUAUUACUUGUUUAAUAAUUUGAUAAUAUUUGAAUUUAUAUUUUUAAUACGAUUAUUAUUUGUAUCAGAUUUAGAUUAACUUAUAUAAUAGAAAGCUUAGGCUUUAACACUAUACUAAUAUAACCAUCUUACACAAAUUGCCACCCCAUUUGUUGUUGGGACUGGUUGGAGGAACACACCUAACCCAGCCCACCAAAUUUGCAACUGGAUGGCUUGAAAUUUAGGCCCAUGAUGUCGGCCCAAUUUAUAUUAAUGAGCCCAAACCCAUCAGCAUACACUUUAUGAAGGACAUGAAAUCCAAAUAGGCUGAUAUGAAACGAACCCCUAUAAAGAAAAAGCCAGCAAAUCCCAAACUGAAAUUCAGAAUUGAAUAUGUGAGAAUCUUUCAAUUUCCAACAACACCCGACAGCGGCCCAUACUGAUAUAGGCUGUCUUCAAGCAGAAUAUUUUUUUUUUUACUACUAGAUCUGAAACAAGUAGUGGAAGCCCGAACAGGCCCAAUAGAUUCCUUCGACACCCGACAAUAAUCUACGAAUCAAACAGGUUUCUAAUUUGAGUACAGAUCUAAUAAACUAAUUAAUAAUUCUUUUUUCUUUUCUGUAAAAUAAAAAAGGACUUUUGAGCUUGAAUUUUUUUUCAGAUUAAAUCUAAGCGGUCAAUAAUAUUUCAAAGAAAUGUUUUUUUUAAUAAUAAAGAUUAAUUUACUAGUUUAGGGAUAGUAAAUAAACUAUAUUUAUUGAAGCCCGAUCCAAGCUUCAGUGACAAGGGUGAUAAAACAAUACUUUUAUAAAUCUAGAGAGUAAUCAUGAAUACCUCUAAAAUCAUAAUAAAAUCAAUUUAAAAUUAUUAUUUAGAUUUUAUAUUUUAAAAAAGAGUUAAAUUUCUUAUAAAUUAAUAAAGCUUAGUUUCAAGGACAAGUGUUAGGAGACCAUGUGUGAUAAAAAUAAAAAUAAAAACCCCAAAUGGGAAUAAGAUUUUUAAUAUUUUUUAAAUGUUCUCAUAAAAUUAUUAUGAAAAUCGUAAUUAUUGGAUCUUUGAUAGUCGUAUUUGAGAGGCUAAAUUAAAUCUUUUAUAAUAUUCAAUUAUUAUUGUUUGAAUGAUUUAUCCAUUUUAUUUAAAAGUAGUAUAUUGUUACACCCUAAUAAUAAUUAUAAAAAUUAUUUAAUAUUUUUAAUAAUUAAGAAAUUAUUUUCAAUUUUAUAAUAAUUUGUGAAGUUUUAAUUGAAAAAAAACAUUUUUAAUUAGAUUUAUCCGAUUUGAAAGUAAAUUUUAAGAGAAUUUCUAAAUUUUGUAUUUGAAUCGGAAGUUAUUAAACUUCUCACCAAUUAACAUAAAUUUAAAAGUAAUUUUUUAACUAUCAUGUUUUAUAAAUCUUUGUGUAAAAGUUUUCCAAUCAAACUUUUUGACUUUAGACCUGCGUGGGAUUGAAAGAUGUCCCACACACACCACGCGGCAUCAAACUCCUUGAUAUUAAUCUUGAUCUUAUCCUCGCCAAAUAGGAGGCCAUGAUUCCAUAUUUCCAUUACACUCUGUCACGGACCACGGCCACCUUCCCAAAUCCCCAGAUCAACAAAAACCAGCACUCCAUGCCUCGGUACCUGGGCACAAAAAGUCAAAGUAGCCGCCUCCAUAAAAUAAGUGGGACACUGAUCGACACAUGGCAUCCUGGCCUGGACUGCAGAGCAGAGGAUCAUCCCCAAACUUUUAUCCUCACGAGGAGCCGCCUGUACUUUAAUGAGAAAAGUAGAGACGUGCCUUUAUUUGCACCAAGCCAAAACGCAGCGUUUCCUCUAUAUAAACCCCCUGGUGUCAUUGAUGAGGCACAAGCCAAAAUACACCACACCUGACAUCUAUACUCCGAUUGUCAGCUCCAAGCUUCCCAGUAUGAGCGACUUGCGCAUCCUCUUUAUCUUCUUCCUCUGCUUCAUCUCCUCCAUCCAUGCAGCCACCUUCCAAAUCACCAACCAGUGUUCUUACACCGUCUGGGCAGCUGCCUCUCCCGGUGGCGGCCGCCGCCUGGACCGCGGCCAAAGCUGGACCCUCAACGUGCCCGCUGGCACCAAAAUGGCCCGAAUCUGGGGUCGAACCAACUGCCACUUCGAUGCCAGUGGUCGUGGCCGGUGCGAUACCGGUGACUGUGGCGGCGUCCUGAACUGUCAAGGCUGGGGUUCUCCACCAAACACACUAGCAGAAUACGCCUUGAACCAGUUUGGUAACAAGGAUUUUUUCGAUAUAUCUCUCGUUGAUGGGUUCAACAUCCCUAUGGACUUCAGCCCCACCAGCCGCGGGUGCCGUGGAAUCAAGUGCACGGCGAAUAUCAACGGGCAAUGCCCGCAGGCGUUGAAAGCUCCGGGAGGGUGCAAUAACCCGUGUACCGUGUUCAAGACUCCGCAGUACUGCUGCAACAAUAUUAAAUGUGGACCGACAGAUUAUUCGAGAUUUUUCAAGACCAGGUGCCCAGAUGCGUACAGUUAUCCUCAGGAUGAUCCCACAAGCACAUUUACAUGCCCUGGUGGAACCAACUAUAGGGUUGUGUUCUGCCCUAGAGGCUCUUCCAACAAUAUUUUUCCUCUGGAGAUGUAUGGAAGUGAUAGUGAGGAGUAAAGGGUCUUCAAAAUCCGAGUGAAAUAAGGCAUGUAUGUGAGCCCUCCUCAAUUAUCUAUCAGUACUAGUAGGUUGUCCAGCAUAAUGUUACAGUUCUAUGAACUUGUAGCUUUCUUUUCAUCUGUAGCUUUCAUGAUCUCCAUGAGAUGGAAGGUGAAAAGACAAUAACGGAAAAUUAGUCGUACAUCCUGUUUAGUGUCGUGUUUGUUUGUCUUGAAUGAAAAUAGGCGAUGUGGGAUAACGUUGUUUGACUUAAUGAUUGCCUGGUUCACCUAUUUACAGGUGGACCAUUCCAGUAAGACGAGUUUGGCUGAAUAUUGAGGGCCCACAGAAAGAAAAUUUGGAAAAAUUAAGCUAUGUUUGGUUCUCAGAAAAUUUGAGGAAAAAUAUAAGGGAAAGAAAAUACAAAGAAAAAAUAGAAGAAAAGAAAAAGUGAAAAAAAAUAAAAAAUGGAUUAAAAGUUGAUAAGUUAUUUUUAUUUUUUACUUCAAACUCAUUUUAUUUAUUUUAACUCAUUAAUAUAAAGAUUAAAUAAUUUUAAACUAUAUAGGUUUUUAAUUAGUUUUAAUUAUAUUUGAUUUUAUUUUAUAUUUUUUAUAAGAUAAUCAAACAUGAAAAAAAAAAAAUUUUAUAUUUUUUUUCUUUUCUUAUUAUUUUUCGGUAACCAAAGAUAAACACGUUUACCAAACACAUGGAUUAAUUAAUGUUUUCUCAGUGCAACCUUUUGAAUUGAAAAAGUCUUCUUAUCCAUAUAUCUUUCCUCCACUACUUUUUUCUCAUCGGAUUCUGACAGCUCCACUUAGUCGCACAAAAAAUCGCAAAAUCCCUAUUAUGAAGCCCCAUACUAGGGAAUACCGUAUACCAUUUAUUGCACCUUGUGAUGAUCAUGUAAAACCAUGGAAUCUAGAACCCUGAACCCUGAACCCUGCCAUCUACACCAAUAUUUCACGAAAUCUAAUCAUCCUAUCAAGGAGUUUAGGACUGCAAAUUUGUAACCAUGGUGAGAUGUGGCCCAGUCCAACUUAAUUGAAUGGGCCGCAUUUGGGUCGCAGUCUCAUGCUUGAAGUUAAGGCCUCCUAGGGCCCAACUUAUACAUGGUAUCAACUAAUCCUCCUAUCUUUUAUUUAUUUAUUAUUUUUUUCUCCCAUAAAUUUAAAAAAAAAAUAGAAAAUCAUGUAUGGAUACACUUCUUAUUUUUCACUUUUAAAAUUAGAAAAUAAUAAAAACUUUUAUAUAAAAUAUAAUGGCCCUUACAUAAAAAUAUAAACAAACCUUGUCACCUUGAUUUUUUUUUUUAAUAUUUUUUAAAAUCAUUAUCUUUAUAGGAUAAGUCAAGAGCUCUUACAUUUUAUGUAAGGAUUAAUAUCAUUUUUUAUUUUAAAAAUAAAAAAUAAAAAGUGUAUAUGAUAUCAAGUAUCACAUUUCCUUAAUUAAGAUGUAUUCUUUAUAGAGACUUUCUUAUUUUAUUUAUAUUUCCUCCUUAUAUUUCUAUAUUAUGAUAUGUUUUUUUUUAAUUAUCAUUACUAUGUAUAUGUAUGUUUAAUAAUUAAACAAUUGGCUUUUUAUAUGAAAUAUUGUUAUAUAAUAAAAAAAAAUUAAUUCUUUCUCAUUAUUUUCUCUUAUUAGAAUAUUGGAUAGAUUACGAAAUCACUUAAUUUUCUUACAUUUUUUUGUCUUCUUUUUAUUUGAAUUUUUUUAUAAUUUUUAUAAAUAAGUGUUUUUCUUACUCCAUAGGUUCUAUUUACUAAUAUACAAAACUCCAAGUGUAAUCUAUGUCAACUUUAUCCGUUGGCAUGAUGUGUUGACUUUGACUUUUGAUUUCUUUUAAUGUAAUAAAAGUGUUCAUAGACUAAUCGUCCAAUAUUAUUAUUAUGUGAUUGAGGGGUGUCUUCAUAAUUUUAUAUUGCAAAGUGGAUGAAGCUAAAAGGGAAUUAUGUAAAUAUGCAUUAUUUAAAAAAUAUAAAUAAAAAGAGAAUCGAAUAAAAAAAUAUUUUUUAUAAAAAGUACAUUUUAAAAAAAAUAAUUCUUAUUUUAUGCAUUGGGAUGAUACCUGCCUCACGUUACCUAAACAUAUUUUUACAUGUAUUUUGGUCCUACAUAACAUUAUUUUAGAUUUAAAAUACAUUUAUUAAUAAAAUAAUAUAUCAUUGUGGACCCCGUAUUUCGGCUCAAUGCGUUUCCCACUCGAUGGCGAGCUCGAUUUUCAUUUUGAAAAAUGAUUUAAUUGGUUAAAAAAAAUGACUUGGAGUCGCCACUUAUUUUUGUUUUAUUUUUAAAAGGGUAAACAAAAUAAGAAAAAAAAAAAAAACCUAAGUGUGACUCCUUAUUUAGGGUGGUCUGUGAAAAACCGGAUCGAGUUCGGGGGUCAGGUUACUUAUCGAGAAGGUACGGUAGAGACCGUAGUACCCCUCUAAGUCUCUAAAGUCGGGUCUCUACUAAUAAAAUGAAACAAUCAUGGCAAUUGAUUAAUCGAGCAUGGAUACCAGAUAAAUAUUACUCAAAACAAAAUAAUUGAAUGAAUAGAAGAGACAAAGAAUGUACCUGAGUGAUGAACCGGUUUACUUCAAUGAAAGCGAAUGUUAGCAAUUAAACACAGAAUAAUCACAUGCAUGUCAUAGAGUGGAAUAAAUCAAUCACGCGUGACAAACAAAUCAAUAAAUAAAUCAAUCAAUCAUAAAAUCAUGUAUGUGAGGCCCCCACCAAAGCCCAAUCGAUCUUGCAUGAAUUAAUCUCACAAAUUCCAUUAUUCUGAAAUUAUGAAAAUGACAUUCACGCUUAUAUAAAAUCGAGAUAAAUAGAAGAUUAUUCGAAACCCGAAAAACAUUAAAACUGUUAAAGAGAAAACUGAAUUUUUGAAAUUUAUUUAAAAAUUGGAGUCUUGGGAAUUAAAUUUAAGGAUUGGAUUUUUAUGGAUUAAAUUCGAAAGAAAACAUAAUUUUGAAAAUUAUUUGGGAAGUAGAAACCAUGAAAGUUAAUUUAUAAAAAACAAAUUAUGAAAAUUGGGACUUUGGAAAUUAAAUUUUGAAAGAAAUUAGAAUUAAAAAUUAUUUAUCCUUAGGUCGCUGGUUCGCCAUUUUGUGGACCCCGCAUUUCGGCUCAUGCAUUUCCCACUCGAUGGCGAGCUCGAUUUUCAUUUUGAAAAAAAAUGAUUUUUAUUGAUUAAGAAAAAUGACUUGGAGUCGCCACUUAUUUUUGUUUUAUUUUUAAAAGGGUAAGCAAAAUAAGAAAGAAAAACCCCAUGAUCACUCCUUAUGCUUGUUCGGAUUCUCAUACGUGCAUGAUCAUUUAAGGUAUUCGUAGGUUCAUUCAUCAAUUGCCACGUCGGCUUUUUUAUUAGUAGAGACCCGACUUUAGGAACUUAGAGGGGUGCUACGGUCUUUACCAUACCUUCCUGAUAAGUAACCUGACCCCCGAACCCGAUCCGGUUUUUCGCAAAUCACCUUUUCCAAAUUAAGGAGUCACACCUAGGGUUUUUCUUUCUUAUUUUGUUUACCCUUUUAAAAAUAAAACAAAAAUAAGUGACGACUCUAAGUCAUUUUUCUUAAUCAAUAAAAAUCAUUUUUUUCAAAAUGAAAAUCGAGCUCGCCAUCGAGUGGGAAACGCAUGAGCCGAAAUACGGGGUCCACACUCAUCCUUAUGUGAAUUAUGUUGGUAUGAGUGACCAUCCUUAUACUUAUAAUUGUUUCGGUAAAAUGAAAAUUAUUAUUUUUAAAUUCACUUAAAAGAUAACUUUUUUGGGUUGUACUUUGAUCAUAUUUUGUAAAGAGAGCAUGUUUACCUAAAUCGCCUUUUGAAGUCGUUGGAUUAAAAUAUUCCUUAGCUUUAGCUCUCAGUCAUUAUUUUAUAAUUAGUAGCUAUCAUUUUCUCAUUUAAUAUUGAUUAAUCAUGACCUCAGUUUUUCAAAACACGUGCCACGUAACCAAGAAUUUAUGGAAGCAACCGCGUAUGAUGGGUCGGCUCAUUGAAGCAACCGCGUGACCGCGUCCAACGUUUUCGGAUUCGGAUCCGAACCAUAGUCCGGUUCGGUUCAAUUCACAGCGGGUUGACUUCCACUUUUUCAUACGUGCUAUAAAUCUUAUGUCAUGAUCAUCUUUCCCACACUUCAAACUUUUUCCAGGAAAACAGAUUCGGGGGAAGAAAAGGUUAGAAUUUUGGUUUGCAUUUGGAAUCUGUUGCAAUUCUCAAUCAGAAAAUGCCUCAAGGAACACUUGAAGUCCUUCUUGUCGGUGCCAAGGGUCUCGAGAACACUGAUUUUCUCUGUAAGUUUCUGCUGAAGUUUCACAGAUUUUCUCGUUUUCUUUCUUCUUCUACUGGUUCACGUUGAGAUUAAUGUCGAUGUAUGUGAAUUUAUGUUGGUUUUUGGUCUUAUGGAUGUGGUGCUUUUCAUAUUGUUGUAUGAUCUUCUGAUCAGGAUCUAGGUUUUGACUCUGAGAGAGAGUUUUUGGCACUAGGAUUUGAUCUGGGUCUCGUACACAGAGAUUUUAGCUUUUUGAGAACUGUUACUCUUUUAUCAUUUUUUUGAGGCAGGACCACGUUUGGCUGCUGAGAAAGCAGAGGAUGGAAGGGAAAACUUUUUUUCAAUUAAUGAAAAAUCCUUUUUUUUUUUUUUAAAGCGUUUCAUUCUUGUUCUCCAUUUCCCCACCAACCAAAUAGAUGGUUUUAAGUUCUUUUUUGUUCUUGUAAGCAGUAAGUCGGAUAGAGGUUCCAGAAAUCCCAUUAAUUCUUAGGGUCUUUGCAAUUUGAUUUGACUUUAAUGAUCUAUCUUCUAUAUCUUCAUGGAUGGUGGCUAUAGUUUUAACAGAUCUUGAUUUGUGCAAUAUUUAUUUCUCAGCUUAGUAUCAUUCUUAUUGGGAUCUAAGUUAUAAUUUUUUUUUUUUCAGUUUAAAUUCUGCUUCACACACUUCUUGUUGAAUUGGUGGUUUUUGAUCUUCUUCACAGAGACGCUGGAUUAAUAGUUCACAGUUAAGGUUAAUUUAGUAGGAUCAAUUUGGUUGGGUUUAGGUCAUACAAUUUUUGUUUUCAAUCAUAUCUAUCAAGAGAAUUAUUAAUUAAGGAAAAAGAAGUUUAUUAUCUCCUCGGAAAUUUAUUAUCAUCUCUGUUUGUAUUCUUGUCUUGCUUAGAUUUCUUUAAGUUAAAUAAGCUACAUUCAUACUUAAAAUAUGAGAUUUCCUUUGGAUAGUUGAGAAUUGACAAAGGCAAGUGUGUUUUUCUGAUAUAGAAAGUGGAUUUUGGUAAUAUUUGUUUCUGUUUUCAUCCUGUCCAUUCAUUUGAAUCAGUCUUAUCUGUCGAGUAUGAAAUUUUGGACUUAUACUGAAGCAAAUUGUUUCAAUUAAUUGCUCAUGUGUUCUUUAGGCCAUGAUCUCCAUCGCUAUUGUGUAUCUCUGUGUUUCCUGAUUGAUGGUAUUUAAUUCUUUUGGGCAGGUAACAUGGAUCCUUAUGUUGUUCUCACUUGCCGCACUCAGGAGCAGAAAAGCAGUGUUGCAUCAGGUGUGCUCUCUAAUCCAUUUGAUUUGUAAGCAGAAAAUAUGCAUAACAAAACAUAACAGAUCUGUACCAGUUCUAUAUUCACAUUGGAAACUGUGGAUGCAGGAAAAGGAUCUGACCCAGAAUGGAAUGAACAUUUCGUAUUCACCAUAUCUGAAGGCAUCUCAGAACUCACCAUUAAAAUAAUGGACAGUGAUAGUGGUAGUGGUGAUGAUUUUGUGGGAGAAGCAACGUGAGUACUAGUUCCUACCUAUGAAUAUUUCCAGCCAGCAAAGUUCAAUGUCCUAUUUUUCAUUUUGAUAAUGCUAAACUAAGGAUUUACACAGUCAGUUUCUGCCUUGUCUAGUACCACCAAUUCUAAUUCAGUGCUACUUCUGUUAACCAAACAUGGUUAGUGAAAAUAUGUAUUUUGAAGAUUCAGUUCUAGCUUCUAGGCAUUGACCAAAAACUUGUACAAAUACUGCUAAGAGAAAUCAGGAUGGCUUAUUUUAAUUCUCAUGUAAAACACAAUGGGACUGGUGAACCUGGUAAGUAUUUAUUUGUAGGUAGUGCCAAGGAAGGUUAAUUUGAUGCUUGCUUUGUUACCCUUGCAGCAUUCCACUAGAGGCACUCUUCACGGAAGGAAGCCUGGAGCCAGCACCGUACAAUGUUGUUAAAGACCAGGAAUAUUGUGGAGAGAUUAGAGUUGGCCUCACUUUCACUCAGAAGGUGAUUUUCUAUCUUUGUUAAUUUGCAUGAAUUCAUAUGCAUUAGCAGAGAAAAAGAAAUGUGAAACCCUCCUAAAAACUUGCCCUUCAUGACAAGGUAGCAGCAGCUCAAUGAGUUGCCCUUGAUUUGACAAAGCAGGCAUCAUUUCUAAAUCUCACUGUGACAUUCAUAAUCUCCACUAUGAUAUAUGGGAUGAGGCUUCUUCCUUUUUUCCCCCUUUGAUAGAGUUGAGAAGGCACUACAAAAGUGCUGCUGAACUGACAAUUUUUUACUUUCCUUGCCAUAGGGAGAAUGUGAUGGGGAGUCCUGUGCGCAGGAGGAAAACUAUGGCGGAUGGAAAGAGUCUUCUUAUUGAGUAUGAGGCAGUGCUUCUGAACUUGUGGUAUUAUGUGGUCUGAGGAUGGAAAUAAUUAGACCAUUUGGUUCAAUAUAUUUCUGAUGUUGAGACAUGUGGUUGAGGAAUUUCAGUUUGAUGUUAGUGUGUUGACUCAUGAAAUGUUCAUCUAGUUUCAUCUGUUACAAUCAAGUGUUCUCCCAUACUAGAAAUUUUGAAUUAAAUGGUAGUGUUAACAACAACAUAGUUUUGAUGGAUAAUCAAAUGGUGGUGAUCAGCUGUUUGCUGACAAGUGUGCCUAGCAGUAAAGAACUUGGUUAUAUUACUGAUUGGAAUAAUGGAAAGUACUGGCUUUGCUCAAAAUCAAAGCCUGAGUGGAGAAGUGGAAGAUUGAGGCUGAAACCAGCUUAUUUAGUCAAGUCUGUGGUAGUGGUAGGUUGUACACAGCUUGGGUCUUUGGGGCAUGAGUGCUGAGCAACAGCUCCUAACCCAACACUUCCACCAAAUAAAACAUAAGUUCAUACCUACGGCUUUGUUUGGAAUGGGGGAAAAAAUAGGAAUUUUUUUUUAAAAAAAAAUAGAUUUCUUUAAUUUUAAAAUAUAUGACUUUCCAAUUGAUUUUAAUUAUAUUAAUUUUUAAAGAUUAAUUGGUUGAUGGGAGUCUCAAUUGGUAGAGGUACCAAUCAACAACCAAAGACCUACUCCUUACCAUGGUCACUUCUAGUGGUCGAUUGUGUGGUUUGCCUAACGCUUACUUUAACUUGGAAUAAGCUUUUGGAAUUCUUUAUAAUGUGGUUAAUCAUUCAAAUCUUUUGAAAAGGAACUUUUAUUCAAUUGACUGAGUGCAUUCACACCUAAAUUUGCAUAAUCUAUUUUAGUGCCCAUUCAAAUCAGCUAUUCUGUGAAUUAUACUCUGGUUUAAGUUAGAGGUUGUAUUCUUGAGAGACUACAUUCUUAUACUUUGAGAGAAAGGGGAUUGAUUUAGUGUGAAAGGAUGCUUAGAUGCUUGUAAAGAUUUUUUGAAACUUUGAAUUCAAGUAUACAAAGAUUGAAUGGAUUUAGUUGAAAAACCUUUGUGAAAUAAACAUAGGCAAUUCUUGAACCAUAAAAAAAUCGGCCAAUACCCCAUGCACCUCUAGAAUUGUAUUAGCCUAGACUUUCAUAUUAGAUUUAGGCCUCUUAUUUAAGACUUUCUCCUUUCUGGUAAGUGUAAUUAGAAAAACAAAAGGAAAAGGCAAGUAAUUUGUUAACUUUCAACCCUUGGAGAGAGGACCACUGGAGGCUCAAUAUCAGCAUCAAUGACUGUUUCCAAAAUUAUCUCUCUUUCCCUUCUCUCUAUUCUUCAAAUGUCUCUCUGUUAUUUGAUACAACAGUACAUAAUAUGCUGAAAGGUUAUACAGACUGUAAAAUCUAAGCAGCAAAUGCAGUACAUGAAUUAGGCACAAACUUGUGGCCAUUUUCUAACUUUAGGAAUGAGAAGUAGAGGAUGUUCCUUCUGUAUAUUGGCACCAAACUUUUCCCUCAUGUCUAUCUCUUUAGGAUCACCCCAAUUCGGAAGAGACCAAUCAAAGAAAUGAAUCCAGGAAACCAGAACCGGGGGAAUCAGCUUUACAGCCAUGGGAAGUCCAGGGCAGAUUCUCCUUCCUGCGCCGAAGGGUAUGAAUUCAAAAUUAGUCCCUUGAAAAUCCACAAUUGAGUUCAGGAAGCGCUCUGGUUUGAAUACUAAAGGGUCUUCCCAACUCAUGGGGUCUCUUCCAAUGGCCCAGGCGUUUACCAGUACUUGAGCAUCUUUUGGAAUCGUAUAGUUCAUCACUUUGCAUGAUUCAAGUGCACGGUGAGGAAGGAGAAAUGGUCCAGGUGGAUGCAGCCUCAGGGUUUCCUUGAGGCAAGCUUGAAGGUACGGUAGCUUCCGUAGAUCGGAAUCUUUCAGUGUGCUUUUGUUGAUCUCUGUGGUGAGUUCUUCACGGAUUUUCUUCAUGGAGUCUGGACUUCUUAUCAACUCUGCCAUUGCCCACUCAGUGGUUACACUAGUAGAUUCUGUACCAGCAAUAAGUAGCUCCUGCCAAACAUCAUCUGAUCUGAGCUUGAAUAGAAAAUCGGAACCAAUUGGGCGACAAUUCCUUUUCAAGUUAAGCAACGAUUAAGUACAAAAUGAAAUGAUGUUAUAAUGAUUCAAUUAAUUUAAUUUCUUUGCCAAAAUCAAAUAACCACGAUCAUAGUCUCUUUACUUAUGAAGUGUUCCCACCACAUGAAUAACAUAAUUAACCUCUUACAGAAGAUUUAUUAUGGCAGUUCAAUUAUAUCUAUAAGUGCAAGAGUGGAGAGAGUCAGAGAGAGAGAGAGAGAUCAAACCCCAAGUAAAAAGUUAAUCCGAUCAUCUGUAAAACCAUCGUUGAUUAGAGCAUCGAGAAAAUCAUGUUGCCUAGUAGCAUGGCUCCCUUUUCUUUCUCUUCUUUCUUUAACGAUAGGCUGCCACAGACUAAACAACUCCACAAAGGAAUCCCUGGAUUUCUUCUGUAACCUCUGAAGAUCCAACCCACGUAGAAUUGGAUAAUAAUCAGCUAAAUUUGGAGUAGACAUCACGUCCACGGUUUUCUUGACACAUCCUAGCAUCCUCGCAACUGCAGUCUCAUCCUCCAAACUGACUAGAUCUUUUGAUAAUAGAGCAUUACUUAUCAUAUUCAGUGCAGUAACAAAGGCUAGUUCUUUAAGUUUCACCACCCUACCCUCCAUUGAGCUCAAGAAUCCAACCACCUCCAUCAGUUUUUUCUCUCGUAAACAUGCUUGUGACUCGAUGGCUUUGCCCGAGAAAAGUUGAGUUCGGCACAUUGUACGCAAGUACUUCCAUCUGUCAUCACACUCAAGCGACCAUACUAUUGAGUUAUUAUAGAAUUCUGAGCUCUUUUCUGGCAUCACUCCCGGAACAUAUCGGGCACAGAAAAUACGGUCAUAAGAGCUGAGAAUUUCUUUGGCGGCGGCCGCCGAUGAUCCCACGAUCAGAGUUUGAGUUCCGAGUCGUAGUGAGAAGAGCGGACCAUAGGAUCGUGCAAAGUCGGCCAUAGCUAUAUGACGCUGUUUCCCUAUCUGGUGAACGUUGCCUAUGAUUGGCCAUGGAUAUGGACCCGGUGGAAGUGAUAUUGGAGACUUUGAUUUGAGAUGCUUGAGGAUGAGAAAGAUGAGAGGCAGGAGAAGAAGGAUCAAAGGAAAGAGAUUGGUUCCUUCAGUUAAAGCUGCUUCAUCCAUUAAUUUGAUGAAACAAAGCUGGUUUUUGCCGUGCAAAAAUUGUUUGUGCAGGAGCCUUCUUAUAAUGGAAGAUGGAGUUAAAGGAGAAUUCAGCCAUUUACAAUCCUAUAAUAGAUUAUAGAUCUGUCGAAUUCAACUGGUCCACCCACUUUGAAUUGUAGUUGCGGAUAUUGCUGAUAAAAAUCCUUGUAAUGAAAGAGGGGCUAAUAAAGAAUCAAUCAUCCAGAUCUCCUGUCAAUGACGGUGUCAUUUGAAAAGGCCCCUCUUUGAUUUUUAGUGCUUGAAUGGAUUGAAAAUCAAUGCCAUUCGUUAACGUUUUGAAAUUAUUGCAUUUCUAUUAUACCUCAAAAUGAUAGUAAGAAGAUUUUUAUGCAAUGAUAGGGAUGACAACUAUAAUAAAAACCUCUCCUUCCUUCACUCAAGUAGUCUCUUCAAUCCUAUUGACUCUUAAGACUCACCAAUUACUUUAAAAUUUGGAGUAGGUUUUUUCAAAAUAAAUUUACGAAAAUGUCCACUAAAAAUAUAAAAAUCGAGUUCUACACUGAUCAGCAUUCAGAUAUCCUAUAAUUUCGAGAUAGGUCGACAUUUAAAUUUCACUUAUAAUUUUUGGUUUUUAAUUUUCUGAUAUUUCUAUAUAUCAUAGCCAUAACUGAAGUGUUGGAUUCAAUGCAAUGAUAGAACAGAAGAACCAACCUAAUCUAAUACAUAAACAAAUGGAUUUAAAGGCGAGGAACCAUUUUAUCUACUUUGAAACUGAUAAUUCUUUAGUGCAUUGUAUAAUAGGAUUGUCUGUAUUUGAUUGUAUAUGAAAUUGCAACUGGUUAAUAGAGUAUUGCUACUGUUGGUCCUGCUUUCCUGCUAUAAGGCCUUGAUAGUAUUUUAUCCCUCGUUUUCUCCCUGGGAUAUUUGGCUGCUUCAUAAGGAGACCAAUCACACACCAGGAAAAAAAAAAGGUCAUAUAUUGGUGGGUAAUGUGGGAUGAAUUAUACUUAGGGGAAUGUCUUGAUUUCCAUUUCUCCAAAGAGCGAUCUCUUAGCUAGGUAGUAAAAACCGAUUAAUCGAUAAUAUGGGAUUGUUGUUUGUUGCCUUGUCUGCUAUGAAGACUGCAUAUUGAACAAUUAAUCAUGGACAGGAACUGUUGGAAGAAGUAAGUUGGUUAAGCUUGGAUUUAUUAGUCUUACAUCAGUGGGUGUCUAGGAAAUUUGAGUACGGCCGGGAAAUAGUACUGGAAAGCCUCCUUUACUGUAGUUUUACCGUACAACAAUGGAGUGUAUUCAUUCUUAUACAACAAUUUUAUAUUCCUUCAUUGCUAUAGAUAUCUAUAACUCUCCAAUAUCAAUAGGUGUGGAGAAUGCAGAAAUCAGUUUCCAUCUGUCCCUUUCUUGACUCCAUGCUGUAGGUUUGGGCAGAGAAUGUUGUGUUUUAGAAAUGAUUCUCCCAAUUCUUUUCCAACAGAUUUCUGGGAAAAACAUAUCAAUGAUGUUGCUUGAAAAACAUAGGCAUGGUGUGCAAUUUGCUCUCUCUCCUGAAAAAGCAAAUCAAUAGUGUAGUAUAAGAAAAUAUAGUAUCACCAAGUUGGCCUUUGCUUUUGAUGAUUAUUUUUUGUCGAAGAAAAAGCAAAGGAAAACCAAGCCCUUCUAUAUUCCCUUGACAUGCAUAAACUGAAUCAUCCUGCACUUGAUUCAUGGAAAGAACAAAAGAUCACAUGGUAUGCGCAACUGUAACAAUCUCUUGGGCAUUUGCAAACUUAUUGGAAGAUUGAAAAACAAAAUAAAGAGGUUAGUAAGCAUAAUGUCACAGAGUUAGUUGUUUACUAAGCUCAUGCGGCACUUAGACAAGGCAAAACGCUUGAUCUUGCUAAGUCAGCCUUACUUCCAAUGCUUAGUUUGCUAGGCUAAGAUGUUUGCUACUCAAAAGUUGUAGAAGACGUAGUAGGCAACUCUUAAAGAAUGAAAGCUUUAUUGCUUUCAAAGGAAGCUAUACAAUACUUAGUAGCUCACUUGCUUGGUCAUGAAGUGAUUUGGGUGGUGCUUUGGCCAAAUGAAACCCUCACCUAUUUAUAGGCACCAAUAAAACUCUCUGAAACCUUGAAGGGUUCUUUACAUAUCAAGAAAAUUCUAGAAUACCCUACACAAUUCUAUGUGCAACCCUAUGUACAAGAAAUCUCUAGAAUUCUCUAGAAAGCCUUGGACUCCUCUCAUGCCUUCCACCAUAGUGUAGAGAUGUGUGGACAUUUCCAGGUAUCUCUAGAACUUUCCACACUCUUCCCUUCAAUGACUUAGUGUAGAUGGCUCCAGGAGUCUCCAAAAGCUUUCUAGGCUCUAUAUAAACCCAUGAGGAGGCUCAUUUGAAGCAUCCUGUGACAAUAAGCUAUUUCUCUUGAUUCUCUCAUUAAAUGCCUUAUGCUUCAUGAAAAUUGAGCAACUUAGUAUCUGGAUAGAAAUCAAUAAUAUUCCACUCGCUGCAAACAUGAGUAAGUGAAGGCCAUGUAGCUACAAACCAUAAUAGACUGAAAUGUGAUGCGAAACAUUACAUCUUUGCAACAGAUCACAAGUUACAUAGCCACACGCAGUACAAGAAGUUGGAAGAAACGUCUCUUGGUCAUUUUCUGCCUUUAGGAAUGAGAAGUAGAGGCUGUUCCUUCCGUAUAUUGGCACUAUACUUUUCACUCAUGUCUAUAUCUUUAGGAUCACCCCCAUUCGGAAGAGACCAAUCGAAGAAAUGAAUCCAGGAAGCCAGAACCAAGGGAAUCAGUUUUACCGCCAUGGGAAGUCCAGGGCAGAUUCUCCUUCGUGAACUAAAGGGUAUAAAUUCAAAAUUAUUCCCUUGAAAAUCCACAGUUGAGUUCAAGAAACGCUCUGGUUUGAAUACUAAAGGGUCUUCCCAACUCAUGGGGUCUCUUCCAAUGGCCCAGGCGUUUACUAGUACUUGAGCAUCUUUUGGAAUGGUAUAGUUCAUUACUUUGCAUGAUUCGACAGCGCGGUGAGGAAGGAGAAAAGGUCCAGGCGGGUGCAGCCUCAGGGUUUCCUUGAGGCAAGCUUGAAGGUAUGGUAGCUUCCGUAGAUCGGAAUCUUUCAGCAUGUUUUGGUUGAUCUCUGUGGUGAGUUCUUCACGGAUUUUCUUCAAGGAUUCUGGACUUCUUAUCAACUCUGCCAUUGCCCACUCAACGGUUACACUACUAGAGUCUGUACCAGCAACGAGUAGCUCCUGCCAAACAUCAUCAAACAUCUGGGUGAAGUCAAUAUGAUCUCAGCUUAAAUCGAAAAUGAAUUUAUAUGAAUAACACUGGAAACAAGUGGGGAGAUGAUUCUUUUCAUGUUGAAGAAAUAAUUAGUACAAAAUGAAAUGACGUCUACCAUAAUGAUAUAGCAUUGUUUACCAAAAUCAAAUGAUCAUCUUAACUAUAAAGUGUUAAUACCACAUGAAAAACAUAACUAACCUCUUCCACAAGUAAUUUAGUAUUGAAUAGUUCAAUCAUAUCUGUGUGUGCACAAGUGUGGAGAGAGAGAGAGGCAGAGAAUUCAAACCACAAGUAAAAUGUUGAUCUGAUCAUCUGUAAAACCAUCGCUUAUCAGAGUAUCAAGAAAAUCUUGUUGGCUAGUAGCAUGGCCGCCUUUUCUUUCUCUUCUUUCUUUAAUGAUAGGCUUCAGUAUACUACAAAACUUCACAAAGGAAAUGAUGGACCUCUUCUGCAGUCUUUGAAGAUCCAACCCUCUAAGAAUUGGAUAGUAGUCAGAUAAAUUUGGAGUAGACGUCACCUCCAAGAUCGUUUUGAAAAUUUCUCCCAUCAUUGCUAACGCUUUCUCAUCCUCGAAAGUAACAAGAUCUUUUGAUAAUAAAGCAUUACUUAUUAUAUCAAUGCAGCAACAAAGCCUACAUUUUUAAGUUUCACCACCUUACCCUCCAUUGAACUCAAAAACAUAACCACCUCCAUCAGCUUUUUCUCUCGCAAGCAUGCUUGUGACUCUAUUGCUUUGCCUGAGAAAAGUUGAGUUCGACACAUUGUGCGCAAAUACUUCCACCUGUCAUCACACUCGGGAGACCACCCUACUGCGAACCCGUUCAAACCAGUUAUUCUGCAUGGUAUCACUCGAGGAACACAUCGGGCACAUAAAAUGUGGUCAUAGGAGUUGAGAAUUUCUCUGGCAGCGGCAGCUGAUGAUCCCACGACCAAAGUUUGAGUUCCUAGUCUUAGCGAGAAGAGUGGAACAUACGAUCGUGCAAAGUCGAUCAUAGCAAUAUGGCGUUGUUUCCCUAUCUGGUGAACGUUGCCUAUGAGUGGCCAUGGAUAUGGACCCGGUGGAAGUGAUGGAGACUUUGCUUUGAGAUGCUUGAGGAUGAGAAAGAUGAGAGGCGGGAGAGGAAGGAUCGAAGGAAGGACACUGACUCCUUCGGUUAAAGCGGUUUGAGCCAUUGAUUUGAUCAUGAAACAAAGCUGGUUUUCGCCGUGCAAAAUUGGUCAGUGAAGAGGCCUUUUUAUGAGUGAAGAUGGGCCAGUGGAGAAUUCAGCCAUUUACAUCUCCUUUAAUAGGUACCGUAUUCAACCGGUCCACACUUUUUGGAUUCUAGUGCCGGGUAUUAGUGUAUUACUGAUAAUGAACCUUGUAAUAUAGAAGGGAGGCUAAUAAAGAUUAUUAGAUUAAAGACUACAAUAAUUUGGGUUUCCCCAUCAGUGAUGCUAUCAUUCAAUAGUGUCCUACUGUUUGUUUAUCCUACUUUUGUUGAUGGAAAAUCAAUUCAUCCACCGACUCUAACAAUGAGCGGAGAGGAGUGAUUCCAAAAGAAUGAAUGUGAUGCAUGUCAAAACCUUAUCAUGUCAUUGAGGUUUUGGUAAUAAGAUUUGAUUUCAAAAUUUUAUCAUGUCGUUAAGGUUUUGAUAAUGAGAUUUGAUUUUAUUUGGGUGAUAAUUUAUGUCGGUGGAUCAUGAUAGAUGAUUAUAAUGAAGCUUAUGGAAACCUUAAAAAGCUUGAAGACGAUAAAAAUUUAGAUAGGAGAAAAUGAAUUUACUCUCUAAAACCAAAUUAUACACUAACCAAUGGUGUAUUAAAGAGCCCCUUUAAUUAAUAGUGAAACCAAUAAUUUAAUGGAUAAUGCAUCAACUGAGGGAUCACCAUAAGAUAUUCUCAUUCUUUCUAAUUUGCAUUUACAUCAUGAUACUACUAAAAUGACAAGAAAGGUUAAAUAAUUAAAGUUUGGGAGAAUGUUGACUUUAUUUAAACAAAAGAAUUUUUUUAUGAACUCUAGCCUUUAGCCUUUAUGUCAAUAACACCAUAGGUAAAAUAGUCCGAAAAUAACGAUUUCAUGCAUAAAAAAUAAUCAAAAAAAAUGAGACUCUCAAUCCCUAUUUACGGAAAGCUUAUAAAAUUUUAAUUCUUUUUAAAUAAAUAUAUUAAAAUUAAAUUUUUUAAAUUUGGAUUUUAUUUUUUGAUUUUUUUAAAAAUUUGUAUAUAAAAAAUAAAUUUUUUUCCAAAAAUUAUUCUUUCAAUAGAUAAAUAGUAAUUAAACAAGAAUUCUAUAAUUAUCCUUAUCUGGAUGAUUGAUUUUUUAAUUUUUUUCAUGGGACAAGUUAUUUACGAAAGUGCACAUCUUUUUAGUAAAAAAUAAUCUCCUUUAACAUCCUUUUCUUUUUUUCAUUUUUUCUUUUUUUCAUUUUUCUCCCCCGGUUUAGAUAUUUUUGCAUCACUACAAUUUUUCUUCUAAAACCUCUCUAAUUUCUUUUUUUUUUUUAAUGUUCAUUGUAUAUAUUAUUAAUUUAUUAACUUAAAUAUUUUUUUUUAUUCAUUUAAUUUCCUUCUAUUUUAUUUCUCAAAUUUUCCUUUAAAAGAAAAUACUCUCAAACCUUUAUUUUGAUCAACCGUUGUCUUAAGUUCGUUAUUGUCAUGAUAGAAAUCAACAAUGUUUCAUUCUCUGCGAACGUCGAGUACGAGAAAGCCAUAUGCCUACGAACCAAAACAGGCUGAAAUGUGAUGCAAAACAUUACAUCUAUGCAACAGAUCACAAGUUACAUAGCCGCACCCGGUACAAGAAGUUGGAAGAAACGUCUCUUGGUCAUUUUCUGACUUUAGGAAUGAGAAGUCGAGGCUAUUCCUUCUGUGUAUUGGUACCAUACUUAUCACUCGUGUCUAUCGUAGGAUCACCUCCAUUCGGAAGAGACCAUUCAAAGAAAUGAAUCCAGGAAGCCAGAACCAAGGGAAUCAGUUUUACAGCCAUGGGAAGUCCAGGGCAGAUUCUCCUUCCUGAACUAUAGGGUAUGAAUUCAAAAUUAUGAAGAGGUCCAGGUGGGUGCAGCCUCAGGGUUUCCUUGAGGCAAGCUUGAAGGUAUGGUAACUUCUGAAGGUCGGAAUCUUUCAGCGUGUUUUGGUUGAUCUCAGUGGUGAGUUCUUCAGGGAUUUUCUUCAUGGACUCUCCCAUUGCCCACUCAGCGGUUACUCUACUAGUGUCCGUAUCAGCAACGACUAGCUCCUGCCAAACAUCAUCAAGCAUCUGGGCGAAGAUAUGAUCGAAACAAUUAGUACAAAAUGCUCAUCUUAACCAUUAAGUGUUAAUACCACAUGAAAAAACAUAAUUAACCUCUUCCACAAAUAAUUUUGUAUUGGAUGGUUCAAUCAUAUAUAUGUACGUGUGUGCACAAGUGAGGAGAGAGGCAAAGAGAUCAAACCCAAUAUGGUUUGUGAAGGAGCCUUCUUAUAAAUUAUAAUGGACGAUGGGGUUUAGAUUAUAAAUCUGCGGAGUUCAACUGGUCCACAUGCUUUGGAUUGUAGUAGCGGAUAUUGUAAUGAAAGAAAGGCUGAUAGAGAGUCAAUCAUCCAGAUUUCCUAUCAAUGAUGCUGCCUUUGCAAAAGGUACUCUUUUUUUUUAGUGCUUUAAUGGAUUGAAAAUCAAUACCUUCCAUUGAAGUUCUGAAAUUAUUGUAUUUCUAUUAUCCCUCAAAAUGAUGGUAAGAAGUAUUUUCUUGAUCAAUGAUAGGGAUGACAAGUAUAAUUGAAGCUUCCUCUUCCUCCACUCAAGUAGGCGGUAUUUAAUUUGACAAAGCUAUCGGUUCGAUCCUAUUGACUCUUAAGACUCACCAAUUACUUCAAAAUUUGGAGUAGGUUUUUACAAAAUAAUCAUGGACAAGAACUCUUGGAAGAAGUACUAGAUCCCAAGUUCUCACGAUUACGAUUCUUUGUACAUCAAAGCCAAGCACUAUUAUUUUUCUCUUGCUUGGUGCAACAUUGUCGUGAGAUGCUCGUCGAAAAGUUUUCAAAUUCUUAAUUAGUAUGAACUUCUUCUUCUAAAUAAUAUUGUAUAGAAUAUUUAUUAAGUUGAUAUAUACUUUUAAUCUUAGGUUUUCUUAUAAAAUAAGAAAAGUUUUUAAGAAUAUUUUUAUAUAUUUUAAAUUAUAAAGGGAAAAAGUCGUGAAAUGGAGAUGGAGUUUUAAAAACUAUACAAAAUGGAUACAGAUACAAAAAAAAAAAUAGGAGACAUCCAGUGGAGUGAAAAGCUUGUGGUUUAGGGUAUUGGGGCAUAAAUAUAAGUGCAAAUAUAUAAAAUAUUUCGAGAACCCAAUGAUUUUAUAUGGUUUAUAUCUUAUUCAUGGAUGUGGACAUGAGGUUGAACCAUGUUAAAACAUCUUUACGUGAAUUUUUUUAUCUUUGUAUUCUUAAAUUAAUAUUAUUUGCAUUAAAUUUUCCACGAUAGUUCUAAAACUAAUUUAAAACCUAAAAGCUGUCUGAGAGCCUCUCAAAGAUGCCAAUCUUUGUAGACACUGCUGUGAAUACUUCCAUGAUGAAAGAAAGCUGGAUUUACAGUACUGCAAGUCAAUAGCAUGUUAAAUAGGCUUUUAAUGGUGGUACCAGUAAUGAAAAUAUCCCCCACUCUCAUCUUGUUGGGCCUCAUUGUAGAUCAACUACCAGAUUGUGAAAAGAAAAUUAUUACAAAUAACCAAUUGUAAGGCGCACCAACUGUGAAAUCAAUACUAAAGAUUCUCUUAACCCUAAUCUCAUGUGCAUCUUGUUGGGCCUAAUAGGGUAAUAUUGACCCUAAUUUCAUGUGCGUCUUGUUGGGCCUUGUAAUAGGAUAAUAUUGACCCUUAUCUCAUGUGCAUCUUGCUGGGCCUCAUAAUAGGGAAAUAUUGACCCUAAUCUCAUGUGCGUCUUGGGCCUUGUAAUAGGUUCAUGUUGACCCUAAUCCCAUGUGCCUUGGGCCUUGUAAUAGGAUCAUGUUGACGCUAAUCUCAUGUGCGCCUUGGGCCUCGUAAUAGGAGAAUAUUGACCCUAAUCUCAUGUGCAUCUUGUUGGGCGUUCGUAAUAAGAAAAUAUUGACGAAGGACAAACGAAUGAAAAUGAUAAAAUAGGAUCGGUUCUACUGAUAUACUGCCAUGAAACUUGCCAAGGUAAUCGCCUACAUUAGAAGAACAAUACACACAAAGAUCUGCCAGGGGGAAAUGGAGUUGGUGGGUAUUUGAAUAUGGGAUGAAUCUCGUACACUACAGGAAAUGCAUGUCUUGAUUUUCAGUUUACCAUGCAUGCAGUACAUUAAUUUUUGAAAUGCUUUGAAUUGAAUCAUUCAGUGGAAAAUGAAAUCUUGUCGGCUUGAAGCCUGUUUUAAUUCUUUCUUUCCUUUCUUUGAUGAUAAGAUACAACAGACUGUCAGACUACACAGCUUCCCAUACAACUCCAUGGACUUCUUCUGUAUCCCUUCAACAUCCAGUCCACCAAAAACAUUUGGAUAAAAGUCAGAUACAUUUGGAGUAUAAACCAAAUCCACUACUUCUCUUCAAUCCUUCCAGCUACCCCCUCUUCCUCCAGACUGAUAAGAUCACUUAAUAAUAAAACAUUACCCAUCACAUUUAACCCAGAACCAAAUACUACCUCCUCAAUUUUCACCACCUUUCCCUCCAUUUUACCCAAAAGUCUCACCAUGUCCGUCACUUUUUUCCGUCGUAAAAAUGCUUGUGACUCUAUUGCUUUACCUGAGAAAGGUUGUAUGCCUAGGGCUUGGAAGCCUGUUGUCGAGGAAUUAACAUAUCUGCCAGAUAGGCUGCGAUCCAAAGCACAUUAGGUUUGGGGCAUAAAUUUGGCCCAACCCUCCCAAGAAUUUCGAGCCAAAGCCCAUCAGGUCCUGUAUCUAGGGUUGGGCUUAUAAUGAUUUUAUAAACCCAUUCCCGGGCCAAGCACUCACGAGCUUAUAAGAUUUCCCUAAAAAAUGUCGUUCAAAAUGUGGAUAAUGUCAACAGUACAUAAAUCAAAACUUGUCACGUUAUUACAAAUUAAAUAAUAAAAUUUUGUUGAUGUCUUGGGCCUGAGAUAGGGCCUAAGCUAAGAACUAAAUUUCUAGUCCAAUCCAAAAAUCUGUCUGGACCAGAAUAUGGGGAGCCCAAACCCACGCCAAGAGGUCCAGGCCAUUGGCUGCUUUAAUACUAUUUAUAAUAACAUUAUUUUCCCUCGAGCUUAGUAUAACUUCAAAGACAAUAAUUGAGUUUAGUAUAACUUCAAAGGUAAUAAUUGGUUAUAUUAUUCACACGAUAAAAAGAAUGAAGCCCACUAAAUAUUGGUUGUUUCUUAUGUCAUAAGAUUACGAGAUUAAACAAAAUCACUCGUAUAAUUAGAUGAAAAUUAACUUUAAAAACAUUUGUAAUAACCCAUUUGAUUUCAUGUAAUUAUUGUAUGAAUAAGUUUUUUAAGCUGUGAAAUCUCAAUCUUAAAGCAAGAAUAUGCACACAUCAAAAGUUCUACCCUCGACAUGUUACAAUUAAGCUCAUCAUCUGAUUUCAUGGGCUUCAAUCCUUCGUACAAGGUCUUCAAGGACACGUCACACUCCUUUAAUUAACUAGGCCCUAUUCGAUAUGCAUUGUUAGGCCAUUGAGGAAGAGUUAAAUAUCAGAGUAAUGGUUUAGAGGCGUCCACGUCCAACGUUGCACUCCGUCAAUUUCCGAACAACGCAAGUAUUGAGAAAGUAACACAAUGUCAUAGGUACAUCAUACAUGUGACAGCGCAGCUUGUCACCACGCCCAAACAAGGAACCAAGGACAACCAGCUUCGCAUGCCCUGUCUGCCUCUUAAUUGCUAAUCCCAUCAUCAAAAAACUAACAACAAGAUUAGGUCCGGAAGUGCUUGUUUUUUCAAAGCCCUUUGAAAAAAAAUAAAAAGCAAAAAGGCAGGGAUGUCUGGUAAAUUCAGACCCAUAGAAAUGAAGAUUAGUGGAGAGUGGUCAUGUCAUCUUUUUGUAAUUUUGAUUUUGACAAUGACUUAGCCUGCCCCAAUGCAAGAGAGAGGGCCGGUUUAUUCCAAAAGAAUUCUUUGGAUUUCACUUAGGUUUCAAACAAGAAGAUUUAACACUAUUAGGCUGGCAACCUAUAAUUGACCUUUUGGAAUCCUGAAUGCUGUUUCCUAUUGAAGAAAAAUGGGAUCUGAUGUUUUAAUUUUUUCCUUCUUUUUUUUUCUUUUUUUUUUCUUUUUUUUUGUGGGUCUUUUUGAAAGGAGAAUGAUUCGAUAUUUCUGGCCCCGGAAGGGAAAAAUAUCUUCUAUAAUGUGUGAAAGAUGUAUGGACACCAUCUCUGAAAGGAUGGGCCACUCUCCCAUGGCUGAGGUUCAACCUCUCAUCAAAAGUUUUUGGUUUUAUUUAUGCGGUAAGGAUUUUUUUCAGAGAAAUGAAAUAAAAGAGAAGAAAAGGUUAGGGUAUAUUUGGUAACUAUUUUUUAAAAUAGUUUUUAAAAAUAAUUUUUUUUAGAAUAAUAUUUUAAAAUUAUUGUAUAAUGUUUUAUAAAAAUAAAAAUCUUUUUAGAAAUCUAAAAUAUUUUUAAAAUUUUUUAAUAUUUUUAAAAAUAAAAUUUACAUUUAAUGUUUUAUUUUUAAUUAUUUUAUAUAUUGAUAUAAUUAUUUUUUAAAAUAAUUCUAAAAAAAUAAGUGAAAACAACUUAUAACUAAAAGAUAUUUUUUGAAAAUACUAUAUUUUAUGUUCUUAAAAAUAGAAAGCAGAAAACAGUUUUUUGUUUAUCAAACCUCUGGUUUUUUUAUUUUAUUAAAUAGAAAAUUAUUCUAAAAAAUAGUACGUCUAAAAGUUUCAAAUGUAUAAAUUUUUACUUUAUUUUUUUUCUUGUUUUUAUACCAAAUAAAAAUACAAAAUUUGAGUAUUUUUUUUCUAUUUUAAAAAAUUCAAUCAAAAUGAAAAAAAAAUUUAGUGUUGAUCUGGAUAAAGUUCUUACUUUCUAUUUUAAAAUUAAAAAAUAAUUGUAAUCUUUAGAUUAUUAAAAAAUAAUGACUUAAAAAUUUAUCUAAAAAAAUUGAAAUAUUAAAAAAAAAAAUUACAACCUCAAAUUUUAACAUUUUUUAAAUUAAUUUUUAAAGAUAUAAAUUAAAUUUAAACGUCAUUUUUUUUCUUUUUUGCAUGAAAUGAUCUUCUUUUUAUAUAGAAUUUUCUAAUAUUAAAAAUCAAAAGCAAAAAAUGUAUCUAAAACUUUAAAUUUGACUCAUAAUUGAGUUUUUAUUUUCAAAAGUAAAAAAAAAAUAGCAAUAAUGUUUAUUUAAAAUAAUAACAUGUUUAGAUAAAAUUAUUUUAUUCAAAAAUAUUUAUAUUAAAUUAAAAAUAAACUAAAAUAAAACAACAUGAUAGCCAGUCCAAAAAAACAACUAGAAAACAUUAUCUUUUGUGUUCAACAAUCAACCAAAAAAAAUUAAUUAAUAAAAAAAAAAAUAGGUAAACAUGUUUAGUCCAAAGAUGCAUGUGAGAUAUUUCAAUAAAAAUCCAGAUGUGAAAUAAUUGGGAGUGGGAGGCUUGUCUUGCUCAGCCUAGCUUUUCUUUUCGAUAAUAACGCAUCGAUACAACCCUGGCCCAUGCAUUGAUUCUAUGACAAAUGUACACCACGACCGAAAGCGCUUCUAUAGAAAGCACAAGAUUAAUAUUUUUAAUUAAUUAAUUAAUUAACAAUAUCCAACACCUAUACGCACCCCCCUUUUCACUUUUUGUAGCAUUAUCACACGACGAUUAUUUAUUGAUACUGAAUGAUAAUAAAGCUAAAUACCAUAAAUUAUUUGGCUAAUAUUUUUAUCUCUCAAUGGUCCACGUGUGGAUGAAAUCGGAGAUGGCUUAUUCCAAAGAAUUGUUUCCUAUAAAUCUCGAUUCCCACGUGGAUAUUAGAAAUAUUAAAUAUUUCUUUAAUAGGUAUGUUGGUUUGUAAAUGAAUAAAAAAAAAAACAAAGAUUCGAGUUCUAUUGAUUUAAAUACAAAAAUAUCUCUUUUGAGUAUAAUUAGAUUUUAAUUAAAUUCAUUUAAUAAAUAGAUAACCUUUUUUUGUCAAUCUACAUAACACAAAUUUGACUCAAAUUAAUCAAUUCAAUAAUUUUAUUGAUUAAUUUAAUUACAACUUUGAGUUAUUUGAUUUAUUUUAAAUUUGCUUUUAAAUAAUAAAAAAAUUGAUUAACUCAUAAAUAUAUUUAAUUAAAACAUUAAUCAUAUAGAUUUAUAUAAGACCUAUCCAACUUAAUUAUUAAAAUGAGAUACUUGAUUAUUAAAUAUAUUAAAUGAGUUAUACGAUUUGGUUUAUGUUAUUUGACAUUAUUAUUAUUGGGUUUUGAUUGAACUAUCCAGUGGACUAACUAGGUUUUGACACGAUACGAACUUGAUUCACCGAGAUGUCAUUGUUAUUUUUAAAGAAUAAUUUAGAUAUAAAUACUAGAAAAUAAGAAUUUGAAUUUUGUAAAACAUAUAAAUAUCUCUUUUAAAAAGUAAGUCGAUUCAUGUAUGAGUGCUAAAAAAAUUUGGAGUGUGGGUUUUACUAAUUUAAACACGUAAAUAUCUCUAAUUUUUACCUAUAAAUAUUAAUGUAUUGAAAGAUACCCUUAACAGAUAUAUUUAUGCUUUUCAAUUGGGAUUUGAAUUUUGUAAAACAUAUAAAUAUCUCUUUUAAAGAGUAAGUCAGAUUCAUGUAUGAGUGCUAAAAAAUUCGUAGUGCGAGUUUUAUUAAUUUAAACACAUAAAUAUCUCUAAUUUUUACCCAUAAAUAUUCAUGUAUUGAAAGAAACCCUUAAAAGAGAUAUUUAUGCUUUCCAAUUGGCUUAGAGAUAUUUAUGUAUUGAAAGAAACCUUUAAAAGAGAUAUUUGUACAUACAAACAAAGAAAAAUUGGAUACUUAUUUUUUAAUAUUUAUAUACAAAUCAAUCGUAUUUUAGAAACUAUUUUUUUAAAGAAGUCAUCCAAUUACAUCAUUACUUUUCUAAUGUAUCUUACCAUUUUAUUAUCAUAAUAAAAUGUUAAAGUUAUAUUAUUAAAAAGAAAUUAUAAAAUUUAUUUUUUUAAUAAUUAAAUUUUUUAACCAUUUUGAAAUCUAAAUAAUUUCCUCAUUCCACUUAUUAAACUUUGUGAUGAUACAAUAUUUACCAUAUAUACAUAGUUUGACAAAAGGAAAAGUAGCAAAAUUGUAUUAUAGAAAAAUAUUUCCAAAAAUGGCAAAAGAAAUAAAAUAAAAUAAUACAAAAAAUAUAUUUCACCUAAAAUAUUAUAAAAUUGGAAAAAAUUAAUUUACAUACCAUCUUAGUUUUUUUCUAUCAAUAAUCUAUCCAAUAAUUAUGAGUCUAUGCAUGGAAAUCCACCCUUUCCUAUUAAUUAUGAUUUUUUUUUUUCUCUACUUGAUAGCACUCAUUAGAAAAGUAAUGAUUACAAAUAUGGGUCCAAAUCUUGUCUUGAAAAUAAGUGACUGAAAACCUUAGCCAAUGAUGGUGGGCACAUGCACACAUAAAAUGAGACACUUUCUUUAUUUGUCCACAUCAUAUAAAAAUUAAAAUACAUAAAUAUAUUUUUAUAAAUGAAAGUAUGUACAUAAAUGUAUUUGAUUAUAAUUAAUAACCAUUAACCACCAAACUAUAAACCCCAUUUAAAUAAUUAUUAUGAGCCAAUCAUUUGUACAAAUUCUGCCCCAAUCAUAACGCUAGGGCAAUGCCUAGUCAUCUUGAGUUUCUUGAAUAUUACAUAUUGUACCACUUAGAUGUAUUAAUAUACAACUCAUCAUGAAGGGUAUCCAUUUCUAAUCUCAAUCUAGGCGUACACGUCAAUCCUUGUUAUUUAAUUAAUCUUAUAUUUCAAACAAAAAAAAUUGUAAAAUUAAUAUGUGGAAAUUCUUAACCUUAGAAUUAUGUCAAAAAUUUCAAAUGAAAUGUGAUGAAAAAUACCAUUUUACAGCUAAUCAGUUAGAAUAGAAUCGACUACUGAUUAAAACAUGUGGACCUUGAACUCCAUUAUAACGAGUCAUUGCUUUUAAUAGUAAAAAUAAAAUUCAAAAACCGACAAGAUAUAAAAUGACAAGGAGAAAGUUUUUACAUUAAUAAGUAAUUCAGAUAUUAAUUUGUUAUAUAGGAUAAGAGUAAACUUGAAAUAAAGAUAAACGAAUUAAGUUCGAAUAUUACUUGUGUUAUCCUAUUUUACCUUAUUUAUAUGAGUAAUUAAAUAAAAGUUAUUUUAAUUUAUUUUUUUCUUAAUUCAUAAAAAUAAAGUAUAAAAUUUUAUAAUAUUUAUUUAUUUUACUUAUUUCUAAUGUAAUUAAAUUUUAAAUUUUUUUAAAAAUUAAAUAAUACAACUAGAUACCUAAUGCGAAAAUCCCGUACCCAUCACAUUCUACUUAUUUAUUUAUUUUUAUAAAAUAAAAAAAUUAUUAAGUAAAACCAUAGAAAACAUCUACUACGAUGU
rnacentral:lncRNA from 1 species